rnacentral:lncRNA from 1 species
AGGGACUUAGCCAUGGCUUGCAUGUUACGAUUCAUCAGAUCACGGCAGCACUUGACAUCCAUGGAUCUAAAGUAUUAAUAAUUCAAAAUCUUCCCGUUUACCUUCAUAUGUUCUUGGUCAGAUGAGAUAACGAAAUGGUCAGCACCAAGCAAGCUCAGUGCUUCCUCCUUUUUAGAAAUGCUUGUACUGAACACGGCAACUUUCAGUCCAAAAGCCUUCCCAAGCUUAAUUGCCAUCUGACCGAGCCCACCAAGUCCAAUUACGUCGAAAGACUUACCCGGUUGGUUCAUCUUGUGACGCACCAUUUGAAUGUAUACUGUGAUUCCAUCACAGGGCAAUGGUGCUGCUAAAGCCAACGGGUAGUUUUCUGGAAUCCUAAGGCAAUACCUGUCAAUGAAGCACCACAAUUAAGUUUCCAAAUCAUGUAAUUUUUCUAUUCCCCUCGAUCAUGUCUCUAAGGGACACGAUAUUCCUGUGACUGUUGGAUACAAGAAUCCGUGAAAGCAUAUACAUUUCAUUACCCAUUUGAUCUAACACUUACUAUCUAACUCUUGGGAACAAUCUAAAAAAAGGGAGGAAGCGGAGACAAAAGGCAAGGAUUGAGCAAUUUCCAUCUCUCUCUCUCUCUCUCUCUCUCUCUCUUUUAAUUAAGGGUUAAUAUCCUAAAAAAUCCCAAAUUGGUACACAUGUAACAAAUUUACCUUGACAGACUAUAAAAAACUCUAAACUUAUAUAUUUAUGACAAAUUUACCCCAAACUAAUUUAUUUGACCGCAAAAAAUCUCAAAAUGGUAAAUUUGUAACAAAUAUACCCUUCACUAAAUUGGAUUAAUACCACAAAAAGAUCACAAAAAUUGUAAACCGUGACAAACGGAGCAUGAAAUCUCAAAUUGGUAUUACUAAUCAACUGUCACGUGCCAUUUAACUUAAUAAUUUGACAGUAAAAUUUAAUGAAAACUAAUAGAGGGUAAAUUUGUCACAAGUGUACUAGUUUAGAGUAUAUUUGUCAAAAGUAUACCAGUUUGGAGUUUUUAGUGGUCAAAAAACUAGUUUAGAGUAAAUUUAUCAUAGGUGUACCAGUUUUGAGUUUUUUAGGGUAUUAACCCUUUAAUUAAUUUAGUUUUAAAUUUAAUGUUAUUAAUGUUUCAUGAAAAUUCAUAUGUUAGAUUUAUUGGCUCACAUGUCAUUGUCACUUGAUGUGUAUGAUAUAUAGAAUAGUCCAAGAGUUUUGACUUUAGAUGCUUGGGAACUCGCGAAUGGUCAUACAUUGUCGGUUACACAUUCAAUAUGAUGUAUUAGCUAAUCAUAGUCCUCUAACGGUUUAUAUUUGCUUAAUAUAUUUCAAGAAUAUUCAUUUGUUAGACUUGUCCGCUCACACGCCACUGUCACUCGAUGUAUAUGAUAUGCAGAAUAGUCUAAGAGCUUUGACUUUAGACACUUGGGAGUGUCUAUGCUUGUUUUAUGUCUGUUAUGCUUGCAAUGCUUCUGGUUUUGAGUGGACAGUACAAAUAUUUAAGUCCAUGUCAAUUUGAACAAUUUUCUUUAUUAUAGAGCAACCGUCUUUAAUCUAUUGUGUUCUUGACCACAAAAAACCAAAUAACAAAUAAGUAUUAAUUAUUGUAGGGUCCAACAACAAUCUUUAAUCUAUUGUGUUCUUGACCACAAAAAACCAAUUAACAAAUAAGUAUAAAUUAUUGUAGGGUCCAACAGCAAUCUUUAAUCUAUUGUAUUCUUGACAACAAAAAACUAAAUAAUAAAUAAGUAUACAUUAUUAUAUGGCCCACUCCUUUAAAAAUUUGUUGCUCACAACAACUUAUUUAUUCUCAUAAUAACCCAAAGUUAUGCUAGCAAAGCUCUUUUGAGUAAGUGUAUUGAAAGUUUUAAAAACUUGUCACUAAAGUGCAUUAAGUCCUGAAACUUUCAAAAAAUACAAUUUAAUCCUAAAAUUUGUCACGAAAUGCAAUUGAGUCUUAAAAUUUUCAAAAAGUAAAAUCAAUUAUAAAGAUUUAUCAAUAUUAUAAGGGACAAAACCAAAAGCUGCAUGCAAUAAAUCAGACAAAAUUCAUUAAUUUAUGACCAUCAAGCAAGCGUCAGACAUUAGCAAAUGAAUGUAUUAGCAAUCGAAAAUACAUCGAAAACAAAAAGUUAAAAGCUCAUAUCUACCUUUCAUUCUUAUGCUUUGUAAGCCCCUCUGACCUUAGUGACCGCAAGGAUUUUACUGUGGACUCAAUGAGAUCCAUCUCAAGCUCCACCCUUUCAUGUGUCCAGCACUGAAGCAAAAGGAAAAUCGCAAUAAUGCGAUGAGGAUGAAACUAACCCAUUGAAUUUCUGAGUAAUCCAUCAAGUACAAGUUACCCAUCAUUCGGCCACUAAGCUCCUCCACUAUGGCCCUCAAUUGCUGGAUGCUUACUACGAGCGCUUCAUCCCUUCGUAUGAAGUCAACAUUUCUUUGAUUCACACUUUCUUUGCAUGACAUAUUUUAAACCUACAAGUAAACGUUAGUCACAAAAAUCCUCACCAAUUGCUCCCUCACGUGUUUCUCUCAAUGUGUUUGUCACUCCCCUCGUGUUUAACUCAAAUUUAGGCUUUUUCCCUCUCGUAUUCUCUUUUCACAAGUUCUUUAUUGGACUCAAAAUCAGUCUCUCAGCCCCCUCACGACAAUCAAUCAAAAUAAUCAAACAAGAUUAGAUUACUAUUAAUUUUGUUUCAGCAAGUAACAAUUUCAAACCAACAAGUAUAACUUUCGAAAUUCUAAUUGAAACGCAAAUCACUACUGAUUUUGUUUCAAUUCGGUCCACAGUCGCCUUCUUGAUUUUUUUUUGUUCAGCUUUUUUUUUCUGCUGAAUCUUUUUUUUUUCUCUAGCGCACUUUUUUUUUGUGUGCGUUUUCUUUCUCUUCUUUUUUUUUUUUUACGAACUUUCUUUGUUUUUUUUUCUUUCUUUUUUGACAAACUCAGAUACAAUUUAAGAUGAUAGGAAAAAAAAUAUUAAAACUAACAGCAAACAAUUACGUAUGGAAGCACAAAAGUAAUCAGAUCCCUAAAUUGGCUAGAACCGAAACCCUAACUCAAUAAAUCUCAAAUUGCUGAAUAUAAACAGAAAAUUAAAGAUAAAUAGACAUUGUAGAAGUAAGCUCUGAUACCAAAUGAUGUCAAUCGUUGUGGAAAAAUCAUUCUACGAAGGCCUGGAUGGUGCGAAUUGCAAACCUCGACCUCCAAUCAAACCUGUGAUUGAUAACCUCGAUAUGAACGUGAUCAAACCUACGAUUGAGAACCUCGGUAUGAACGUGACCUAUUGACAAACGCAUGUCAACCAACCAAACCCACGAGCGAAAGAAUAAGGUUAAGUUCUCAAAAAAUAGUAGAAAAGAAUCUCUCAACUUUUUUCAUCCAUAUAUAUAUAUAUAUAUAUAUAUAUAUAUAUAUAUUGACUUGGUCAAAUAUUUGAUGAUCAGAUAAUCAAAUUGUGCAAAGAUUUCUAAGAUUCUUCAAGAUUUAAUCCAAAGCCAUCUCUACGCCGAAGAUCAUGAACCAUGACGCUAACAGCUUACUUGAAUUGCUUGGCUCGUGCUCGAGUAAUUGAACCAGUAGGAAUAGACAAUGGGUCUCUAGCACCACCUCAUCGAUAUGGCUUGAUGUCCACAUCAUAAUGCAUGCGAAGGAACAAGCCGAUUGCCACUUGAUGUUAGUCAUUCAUGCAAAACUGUAAGAUUCAUACGCUAUAAUAUAGCCAAACAAGCAACCAAAAAAAAAAAAUAAAAAAUAAAAAACUAAAAAAAUGAUCUGCGUUGCACUUGAGGUGGCAAGGGCAAUUAGAUUGUAUUGAAACUAAAUGAAGUCCGUUGCAUUAAAAAGACAAUCAAAUGAUGCAUUGAUCAAACCUUCUCUUCCUUCUUCUUUUUCCUCUCCAGGUCUUCCACGCCUUCCGACUUGUUAUCCGGUUGAGACUGCACGACCCACAUCGACUCAUCAAUCUGAUCAUUACAAUCAUAGACUUGCCAUUUCCACAGCUAACCCAAUAACUCAAGCUACAAUCAGACGAGCUUCCACCCAAGAAAACAUACCAUUUCGAUGGUUGGUAAGCGUGAGACUGCAACCAAAGUUCGAUUCCGACAAGAGAAAGCACCGGGACAGAUGGUUGAGCUCCGUUUAGAAGUAGACCCAACAGCCGCCGGCGAACAAGGGUGGCGACCGUGACUUCAAAGAGACGACUUGACGGCGACCGAGCUCGGCGGAGGCGAGGGCGGCGGGACUUGUCAGCAGGGAUUUUUCUGACAGUGUCAGACUGGCACGACUCUGACGUUUUUUUAAUUAACUAAAGAAAGAAAUUCGUAAUACGACGUGGGCAGCCCGCAGGAGGGCGAAAUAAGAGUUUCCUGUUCUUAUUUUAUUUUAUUUUUAGCCUUUUCUGCUUAUUAGCAAAUAAAAUUUAUUAAUUUGACACGAACAUAUAGUGGUGUAUUUCCUACUAGUAAUAUAAAUUUAUAGAUUUUAAGGGAAGACUUGGAUCGUAAUUGUCAUUGGAGAGGAAGUGAAUGAUGAUAUAACAUGAGUUAAUAGACGUAAGUGAAAAAUGUCACAAAAGAAAUCGUGUUCCGAUAUUAAUUUUGUCAAUAUAUUGAAAAGGCAACAGGUUUCGUAUUCUUCUGGACAGAAAUGAAAGGUCAAAGGGAAACGAGAAGGACUGAGCAAAUAAAUGACAAAAUAUGAGCAAUGGAAGUCAUUGAUCGUUUGCCGUUUGACUGAUUGGAUUCUAAAUAUUUUAUUUUCAAUUGGGGUCUAAAUAUUUAUUUGGUCCAAUUGACUUCUAAACAUUUCCAAUUUUAGUCAAUCACGUCCCUCGAAUAUUAUUGUCGGAAAGAGCCACAUGGCUGUGAUUUUCCAAGUGGCCAAGGAGAUGCUUGAGGAGAAAACCUGUAGGAGAGGCGAAGCCAUUCAAGCAGAACUCUCAAGAAGCCAAUUUUUCAGACAGUUUCUCAAUCAUCACAUAGAAAAGUACCAGGAUUUCAUUACCCAUUUCACUUAUUUCUGCUAUAAAACUUACGGGUAUCGAAGUAUAUCAGGCAUAGUUUAUUUGUACUCCAGCAGAGAUAGUAAAAAGGCACAGAUGAUGCUCUCCUCUAGCUGAAACUCCCACUUUUCCUCUCUGUGUGAUCAGCUUUGCCAGCAACAAUUUCCAACUUCCCAAAUUGAUGUUCAAAUUUAAUCAAAUAGACUCAGAGAAGAAAACACACGAGAAUUGUUGCUAUAACUCUUGUUACUUUAUUCAUCAAAACAUCCAAAUCACUUAGCAAGAAAAUAGCUAUAGAACAACAACAACAACAAAGACCCACUGACAUACCCCACCGACCAAACAUGUGGAGAAACUAACUCCUACAAAAAAGCCACUUCCUAUUGACUAGGACUCCACUAUUACAUUAUUGAAGACACGUAAAAACUGUAAGUUAACUACUUCAACAAUUGAUGGUGUCACUUCAAGGAGUUCUCAAUGUCGAUCACGAAUCGAUACUUAACAUCUCUCUUGAUGAGCCUCUCCAGAGCUUCAUUGGCAUAAUCAAUCGGUAUCACUUCAAUAUUUGGGUAUAUCUUCUGCGCUGCACAUAGGUCUAUCAUUUCUUGGGUAUCCUUUGUUCCUCCCGUUAGGCUACCUGAAACAGUUCUCAUAUCUGCCAAACGUUCACCACGAGCAACUUAGUUCACCUAUCAGGUAUGAAAUUUCAUUUAGUAAUCAGAUUUGAGAACAAAAACAUACGGUGGUUAAGGCUGGCUGGACUAAAUUUAACUUCGCUCGAGCCGACCAAUGCUAGAAUGCCACCCGUCUUCAAAACAGACAUGUAAGGAUCAAAUGGGUGAUUGCCGGCUGCCGUGUCGAUUAUAAAGUCUAGGGACUUAGCAAUGGCCUGCGUGCAUUGGAUUUAUCAGAUCACAACAGAAUUUGACCACCAUGGAUCUCAAUGUGGAUAAUUCUAGUUUUUCCUUUUUUUACCUUCAUCUGCUCUACGUCAGAUGAGAUAACGAAAUGGUCAGCCCCAAGCAGGCUCAGUGCUUCCUCCUUUUUAGAAAUGCUUGUACUGAACACUGUGACUUUUAGUCCAAAAGCCUUCCCAAACUUAACUGCCAUAUGACCGAGCCCGCCAAGUCCAAUUACACCUAGAGACUUACCGGGUUGGUUCAUCUUGUGACGUAUCAUUGGAGUGUACACCGUGAUUCCAGCACAGAGCAGUGGCGCUGCUAGAUCCAUCGGGUAGUUUUCUGGAAUCCUGAAGCAAUACCUGUCAAUGAAGCACCACAAUUAAGUUUCCAAAUAACACCAAGAGAGGAAGUGAUUUCCCAAUAGAAUCAGCAUCCUGUCUUUUUUGUCUAAAAGGAAUCAAAUCACAGAGCCAGAAAUCCUAUCUUCCGCAUGCUUGGGAAUGUUACUUGCUUAGACCACAAUUCAGCAUCAUGUUGUUUCCGUGAUCCUUGUUCUGACCACAAAUUGCUCAAGACAAACAUUUCUUGCUGUAGCAACGAAAAUAACUCGAUUAAAAUUAAGAAAAGACACUUGCUCUAAGAAAGGAAACUGGUGGCAUAUCACAUAUGCUUGACUGAACACGUAAUUUCUCUAUUUCUUUCAAUCAAUUCCUCCGAAGGACUCAAGAUUCCUGUGGCUCUAUCAGAUACAAGAAUUAGUGAAAGCACAUACAUUUAGCUACCCAUUUGAUCUUAUACUUAUGAUCUAACUUUAACAAUCUAAGGACAGCUUAUUCCAUUCUUGACAAUGGUUAUUGAAAAGAAAGAAUUUCUUUUUGCAUUUAAUAAAGCCAAUUCUCCAUUGAAUGGUCUGAAUGGUAAUUGGAUACAGAGGACUUAAAGACCCUCCAGAGCCGUUAUAGAAAGUAUCUUUAUCCUUUUCCACAAGAUGCAUUAUGCUACUUCUGGUCACAAUCAGAAUACGAAGAAAAUUAGCAGAGAAGAAGACAUGACAUGAAAUCUUUUUUUGGCCACCAUGAUUUGAAAUUCUUUCACAGUGCAAAAUGCUGCCUAAUAACAUUGUGUUAAUAAGCAAUUACCUUUCAUGGACGACAAUGUGACUAGAAUAUCCUCCCUUUGUCACUGUACCGUCCGUAUCGAUUCGGUCAAAAGUCAAAACCAUCUUUUCACAAUGGACUUCUAGCCCGUCAUUGCAAUACUCGCACUCUCUGCAUGAAUUGACAUAAGUUCCCACACCCACAUGAUCGCCAACUUUGAAGCGUUGGACACUGGAGCCAACCUGUUUCACAAUUCCAACUAUCUCGUGCCUGAAUCAAUCAAAAAAGUCAUUCGCAAAUUUUGUUCAGAGAAUUAUUAGGAUGGUGCUAAGAAAAAAGAUUAACAUUCGAAUCACGCUGCAUCCUACCCUGGCACCAGAGGAUACUUGGAGGUUCCCGACAUAUUCCUAGUCCAAGCCACAUCUGCAUAGCACACUCCGCAGUGCGUGAUCCUAAUCGAGACGUCAUCGCUUCCCACGGUCCUAAAGAGAGAAUUCCCAAACAGAUGAGCAUCUAAUCAAGCAACUAAUCAGACUCAGUUACCUUUUGUUCUCAUUUUUCAGAUCAAUAAACUAAGCGUGACUUACAAUAAUCAUACAUUCAACCCAAAAAAAAAUUUAAGAAAAGAGAAAUGAAAAGGAACCAAAUCCAUGACUAUAGGCAUUUGUCUGAAUAGUACAUACAACCUCAAAUGCUCACAAAGGCAGCACCCGAAUCCUAAUGUCUGCCAUGAAGUUCUAAGCAACUCAUUCUGGGACAUGACAUAUCAUGCGUACAAACAAUUCUCUACCCAGAAAUUAGUGCAUACACAACAAAAUUUAUAAAAGAAAAACGAAAUGGUUUGGUCAAUGUGGAAAUUUAAAUAUAUGACAAGCAUCAAAAACUGUUUUGCAUUACAGGUGAGAGGAUAAGACCUGAGAACACUGUAUUGAGACUUAUUCAGACAAAUACUUCAAUAGAAAUUGAAAGUAUAAGGAGCAGAUGAAUUAAAUAAAGAACAGUGGUAACAGUAAUACCUGCGGCUGAAUUUGUAGGGGGAGAGACGUCCAGAAGGAUCUCUGGCAGCCCAACCAAGACAAUCUUCCUUCGCACCCUCUGAACUCAUCGUUCCUCACCGACCUCAACUGAAAUCGACCCACAAAAAAAUUGCUGUGUUAAUCUCUCAAUAAGCUGAAUUAUGGAAGAAGAAGAAGAAUUAUUUUCGUGAAAGAGAAAUGAAGAGAAAAUCAAACCGGAAAACAGAAGUUCAAAUGGUCAAAAGGCCAAAUGUCACGAAGACUUGGCAAUUCCGUUUCCGUGCAGACAAGAUUUUGCGGUCUGACUUUUGAGCAAAGAGCGAGAUUAGCAGAGAGCGAGGUUGAGCGCUCAAAAACCGUCACCUCUUUAUAGAUGCCAUAGCGUCGCCUGUUCUUGAUUUUUUUUUUCGUUUUAUCUUGUGGAAAAGAAUUAGUGCCAAACGUAAGCCAUUACCCUUCACUAGCCAAUGAAGUAUGCAGUGACGUCUUCUGGAGUACGGUUCUUGGUAUUUUUAUUUAUCCUCCCAAUAACAAUUGCAUUAUUAAUUUAUUCACACAUUAAAUAUGUCAAUAGGCAACAUGUUGACGCAUAAAAUAUGUCAUGAUCCUCUAGUGGUAUGUAUUCGAUUCAUCUAUUUUAAGAAUAUUCACCUUCAUCUAUUUUAAGAAUAUUCACCUUCUUCAAAGAUAGUGUUAGUAUAUGCGGAAACAUGUGUUUGAUAUGUAUGCAAGCAAAAGAACUAAGGGACAAUGUGAGCAAGAAAUAGUGGGACAAAGUAAUAAUAGGAAUGUGUAAAAGAGAAUGAGGCUGAGGCGGUGAAGGAGAGAAACUUGAAUGGAAGUCAACAAUAGUGGCUGAAGAAGAAACUAGUAUGUGGACAGCAAGAGUACUUGGAGAAGAAGAAAAUGAGUUGUCAGCUGUACUAUGGCCUAUGGCGGUGAAAAAGUCAAAAAUGUCAUGCUUGAAGUCGGUUGUAAUUGCCUAUAAAUAGGCUUGUCGUUCAUUUAUUUGGUGUGUGUGAGGUGAACCCUUCACCUUGUGUGGGGGUGAACCCUCCACUGUGAGAGGUCUUAAACCUCCGCUAGGACCAUAUGGAGAGUGACUAUUCAACACCUCCAUCAAAUUAUUUUGUCUUCUUCAAUAAGUUCUUGACAGCUGGAGUUUGAUGAAGAAACUUUGCUUCAUGCUUUCCGCUACUUGCUAUUUCCGAUGCACGUAGACUUCUCUAGCCUAUUCUAGGAUUUCUUCUUCAACUUGGGGUUUGCUUGCUUGUAUUCCCAUGUGAAUCUUCUAGGUUCAGCUAGCAACCACCAUUCUCAACAAUUCUAGACAAUCUUCAACAUGGAUGUUGCUACCAACGUUCUCGCCUUCAUGAUUAAGUUAAUAGUUUCUAAACAGUUUUAGAGAAAAUGGAUCAUAAUUUUCAACAUAUAGUAUUUUGGAGAGAAAAGUAUUUCAGCAGAAUUGUUCAAGGAUUUACAGAUCACUACAAUAUCACCGGAAGCAAAUAAUUAUCCAUCAUUGACAUGAACGAUAUAGCAAAAAUUCUUUUACUUGUUUACCUUAAGUUUAGCAAGAUCUGCUUAAACGACAACCUUGAGUAUCUUCAAUUCCCUUUCUCUUGCCUUCAAAAAGAUAUUGAAAUGCAACGCAGAAUCAAGACAGAUUGUCAUUAACAAAGCUGUAAAAGCCUACUCAAUCUGGCAAAAUUGGGGACAGUGUUUUCCAGCGAUCUUGACUACCUCGGUAGCUGCUGUGCAAAUGGAUAGGAAUGCAUGCAGAGGGACAAGCUGAUUGUUACCUACUUUUAGUCAUUCAUUUGAAACUGUAAGAUUCAUGUGCCAUAAGAUAGCCAAACAAGCGGGCAAAAAAUGAUGUGCCUUGCACCGAAGGUGGCAAGAGCAAUUAGAUUAAAUUCAAACCAAAAAAAGCUUGAUGCAUAAAAUGAAAAGUCAUCCAUUGAGCAAAAAAGGGUGCGUUUGGUAAGGUUUCUGUUUAAAAAUUGUUUCUGGGAACAUAAAUAAAAAAAAGUGUUUCUGUUCCAAGGAACAAGUUUUGAACAAAAAAACGCAUUUGGUAAAUCUGUUCUAGAAAUAUAAAAAAAAUAGAAACACGUUUGGUAAGUUUGUAUAUUUUUUUUUAUUUCUUUUAAUUUUUAAUAUUUUUAUUUUUAUUUUCUAUUUUCUUUCUUAUUUUUCUUAUUUAUUUUUCCUUUUUUUCUUAUUUAUUUUUCCUUUUUCCUUUUUUCUUCUUUUGGCCGGUCGCCGGCCUCGGCCAUGGCCGACGACCAGCCGACAAGGGCCGGCGGCCUCACCCAGCCAUGGCGAGGCUCGCCGGCCGCUGGGCGAGCUCGGCCUCGCUAGAUCUGGGCGAGAUCGAGCUCGCCCAGCCAGGCGCGAGGUCGGCCUCGCCGCGCUGUGCCGACGGUGACCCAGAGCCACACCAUCGUCUCCCUCCACCGCAUCGGUGACCGCGCUCGACGCCUCCUCGCCGCCACCGGAUCGGCGACCACCCCUCCGCCUCACGCCCGAUUGACGCAUCUGCAGGUCUCGAGCCUUCGUUCACCACCGCCACAUCAGAUCUCACCACGCCGUGACCCACGGCUUCGAGAUCCGCUCGAUCGUCGACCCCGCGCCGGCCCACGACUCGACCGGCCGUCCUCGCCGCUCCGCUCCUAGACGUCCGCCGCUCGAGACCCCACGGCCGAGCCCCGCACCGCAGCCGCCGCCGCCGCCCAGCGACCCGCGACCCAGCUCCGUCACCCGCUCACAGGUGGAGAUGCUCGCAGCGGCUGUCGGCGCCGGAGAGGACGACGGUGGAGAAGCCGGAUGGUCUCGAGACAGAGGCGGCUGUCGGCGCCGGAGAAGACGACGGUGGAGACACUUGCAGAAGGAGAGGCUCGCAGGAGAACACGAUUUUGUUUCUUUUUUGUUCUUCAAAUAUGUUUCAGAAAUAAGAAAUAAGAAAUUCUUGUUUCUUAUUUUUGUUUGUUUCUUAUUUUUGUUCCCUUUUUGUUUCUAGGAACAAAAAAACAAAAAAGAAACAGAAAUGCACCCAAACGCGUUUCUGUUCCUUUUUUGUUCCCAGAAACAAAAAAAUAGAAAUUUUUGUUCGUGGGAACAGAAACACGGUGCAAACAAACGCGCCCUAAAUGACAAAGUAAGUGCAAUGAGAGUCAUUGAUGUUCACGCCAAACGUAUGCCAUGACCAUUCCUUAGCCGAGAGAAUGUAAGCAGCGACAUCUUCUAGAUAGUGGUUACUGGCAAUUUUUUUUUUUUUUAUCCCCGGCCUGAUCAAAUUAUCCGAGUUAUAAACUCAGAAAGAAGUUAAUGAGCAAUCUACCGCUAGGACCUAUGAAGGGUCAUAUGUUGUUGGUUACACAUCGUGUUGGAAUAUAAUAUACGGAAAUGAAAAGAUCUUGCAAUUUACGUCAACGUGCAAACUCCAGAAAAAUAAAUGAGAAAUAAUAAGAACACCAUAACUUUACGUGAUUCGGUCCGAGUAUUAGUACCUACAUUCACGGGAGAGUUAGCAACAAAUAACCCACUAUAAUAAAAAAAUCAGAGUUUACAAUCGCUCACAUGCUUGAGUAUUUUCUACACCUAGAUUUCAACUCAAGAGUUUAUAAAUAAACAACUCAUUUUAACAUAAAUUCACGACAUAAAAUUACCACUCGUUCAAAAACAAAAUGCUCUACGUACGCCAAAAACAAGAAUUCCAGCAUUUAUCUUUUGGUUCGCGUAGAUACGGAUUUGUGUUCUUCUUUGCUUGAUCGUGCGGCGCUAUUCUAGACGUUCCUUUUGGCUCUUUCUUCUUCGUAGGGCUUCAGUAACUUUUUCUAUAAAAAAAAAAAAGGACGUUCUAUUUUAUAUAUGUGCCUAGAGUCAACAACUUUGACUCUGGGCCCACCAUGUGCUUCUUUCUUCAGUGGGAAGUGGGACGCUGCAGGUAAGGCGAAGAAACCUUCCUUUUAUUCAUUUUUCUUCAUAUUUCCUUUAUUUUAUGGGAUAUGUUUGGCAGAAGUCCUAAAACUUGUCCAGAAAGUGCAAUUGAGUCCUAAAACUUACAAAAAGUUCAAUCAAGUCCUAAAACUUGUCAAAUUGGUUCAAUUGAGUCCUAAAGUUAACACCGUUAAGAAAAUUAACAGAAAUUGCUGACGUGGCGCUGACGUCAUAUUUUAAAUGAUCUUUUUUAUUUUUCAAAUAGCUUUUUUAAAUUAUUUUUAUUCAAAAUCUUUAAAAAUUAGAUUAAAAACUAAAAAGGAAAAUCUAAAUUUAUUAAAAAAACAAAAUUGUUCAAAAAAAAAAAAAGAAAAAAGGGCGGUGGACUUUCGCCGCUGCCCAUCGCCGAAGGGGCCGGCGAUCGUCGCCGGCCCUGGGCGGGGGCGAUGGUCGCCAUCCCUUGCCUGGGGCCGAGCAACCGUCGCCCGCCUUGGGCGAGGCCUCGUCGGCCCUCGCUUGGGGUCGGCGAGGCUCGCUAGAUCUGGGCGAGCCUCGCCCUCGCCAGCCACCCCUGCCCAGGGCCGACAACUGUCGCUCGGCCCCUUCGGCGAUGGGCGGCGGCGGCGGCGGCGGCGGCAGCGGCGGCGGGGAGAAGAGGGCUGCUUUUUUUUAAAACAAUUUUAAAAAUAACUUUUAUAACUUUUCUUUUUAAUUUUUAGAUAAAAUGAAUAAAUUUAAUUUUUUAGUUUUAAUUCUUUUUUUAAAAAUGAAUAAAAAUCAUUAAAAAAAUCCACGUGGAAAAUAAAAAAUAAUUAAAAAUGAUACGUCAGCAUUUUUAACAGAAAAAGCUAACGGUGUUAACUUUAGGACUUAAUUGAACUAACUUGACAAGUUUUAGGACUUGAUUGAACUUUUUGUAAUUUUAGGACUCAAUUGCACUUUUUGGACAAGUUUUAGGACUUCUGCUGAACAUAUCCCUUAUUUUAUAUAUGUUGUGUGCCUAAAGUCAAGACUUUUGACUUUGGGCCCACAUAAAUAACCUUGUUUGGCUCCCGUAGAUAAAGAAGAAACUUUGUUCUUUUUAUUAUUAUUAUAUUUUCUUUCCUCUUUCGUAAACCUUCACAAAGUCCAACAAAGCUUCUUCUAUUGAUCGAAACAAUCAAAGACCCAAAAAGAAUUUCGAAUUUAUUUUCUUGUGCAUAAUCUUGAAUAUUAUCUUUAUCAGAAAAAUAUCUUCACGAUCAAAUAAUAAAAUUUUUAUCCAAGCGGAUCGCAUUUUGCAAAUACUCAAACUCGAGACAUAAUUUAACACAUCCGACAUGAUAUACUGCCCAAUUACUAUCCUCUGACAAUUUAUAUUUGAUUAAUCUAAUUCAAGAAUAUUCAUUUGUUAGACUUGUUGGCUUACACGCCACUGUCACGUGAUAUAUCCUAUAUUGAGAAUACUCAAUGAGCUUUGACUCUAGAUACUUGGGAGCAUCUAUGCUUGUUUUAUGUAUGUUAUGCUUGUGAUGCAUCUUGUUUUGAGUGGACUGUAGAAAUAUUUAAGUUCGUGCCAAUUUGACUAAUUUUUUAUCUGGAUAAGUGCAUUGGAAGAUUUAAAACUUAUCAUAAAAAUACAAUUAAGCCAUGAAACUUUGAAAUCAAGUUCUAGAACUUGUCACAUUGGUCUAAUCUAAAUCCUACCAUUGCAUUUUUGAAAAUUUCGGUACUUAACUGCAAUUUUCUAACAAGUUUUAGUAUUUCCAAUAUACUUUUUUUUUUUCAACCUCAGUAAUGUUUUUAAGCAACAAUGAGCUUGACAUAUCUCUGUUUUCGGAAUUUCAGUGGCUAUAGGAAACAAAAGGACGUCCUCUAAUGAAUCAACAAUCUUCUGCCAUGACAAAGCUGGAAGAGAGAUGAGUGUCUUCCAUAGUUAUAAAAAAUGUUCAUGCAAUAAUCUGUAGGAAUUCGUCUUCCUGACGUGCAUGAACAUUUCCGGCCAUGAAACAUUUCACGGUGAAGACAUUCUGUCACUUAAACCGGCAAAAGGAUAUCGAGCUUGUUCUUUUGGCGAGUGUAUUGCCGUCAAAUAUGCCUGAUUAAUUCCACGACUAUUAGCAUUUGUUUAAAUAGAGCAUACAACCUAAAAUGCUCACAAAGGUAGCUGGUACUGGAUCCUCAUGUCUGCCCAUGAAAUUCUGAGUGCCUCAGACAUGGCAUAUCAGGCACACAAACAAUUCUCAACCCAGAAAUUAGUACGUACACAACAAAAGUUUAAAAAAAAAAAAAUUGGUUUGGUUAAUGUGGAAAUUUAACAUCAUGACAAGCAUAAAAAACUGUUCAGCAGUACAGUAGAGAGGUCAAGACCUGAGAACACUGUAUUGAGACUUAUUCAGAUGAACACUUCAGAUAGUCACUGAAAAGCUAAGGAGCAGAUGAAUUGAAUAAAGAACAAUGGCGAUGAUAAUACCUGCGGCUGAAUUUGUAGGGGGAGAGAAGUCCUAGAAACCGUCAUAGAUGCCAUAGCGAUGGAUGUUCACGAUUAAUCUUUGAGCUUACUAUUGUGGAAAAGUAUUAGUGAUUCGCCAAACGUAACCCAUGACCCUUCCUUAACCAAAGAACGCAUGCAAUGACAUCUUCUGGAGAGCGGCUCCUGGAAUUUUUCCAUCCACAACCUAAUUGCAUUAUCAACCUACUGACACAUAAAAGAUGUCAAUAGGCAAUGUGCUGUUGCACCACUGGACCCGCAAAUGGUCAUCAAUGUCGGUUAUACCGCCAAUAAUUUGUACCUGACCCUUCAUAGUCGUAUUAUUCGAUUAAUCUAUUUAAAGAACAUUCAUUUUCUUCAAACAUGCUUUCUCACGUGCCACUGUAAUAUGAUGUUUUUGAUACACAAAAUACUAUCUCUUCAAGAGCUUUGACUCCUAUAUACUUGGGACAUUAAAUUGUUUUAGCAACAAUGAGCUUGGGAUAUCUCUGUUUUCGGGAUUUCAGUUGCUAAGGGAAACAAAAAGGACGUCCUCUAAUGAAUCGACGGUAUUUUGCUAUAACAAACCUGGAAGAGAGAUGAGCGUCUUACAUAAUUACAAAAAAAUGAUCACGCAAUAGUUGGUAGAAAUUUACUCUGCUGACGUGCAUGAACAUUCUGAACAAAAAACGGAAAACAUGCAUGAACAUUUCCGGCCAGGAAGCAUUCACGAGGAGCUGAGAGACACUCUAUUUCUUAAAGCAGCAAAAUGAUUACGAGCUUGUUCUUUUGGUGAGUGGAAUGAAUAAAUUGUUCAAAAAAUCCUAAACUUAUUGUCCGACCACUAAUUUAAUUCUAAACGUUUUAAUUUGAUCAAUGUUGUCUAAAACUUUUGACAAUUUUUUGUAGUCCACCUAGUUAAAUUUAGGUCGAAAAUCAGUGAUGAAGCAAUUUAGUAAACACUAGCUGUUUUAAGUGAUACAACCGAUAGCUGAUAUAGAUGAUCUUAAAUGAUGUGGCGUCGUUUCACAAUUUUUUAAUAUUCUUUCUUUUUCUUUUUUAGUAAUUUUUUUUCCUAUUCUUUCGUUCUCUAGUGUUCAUUUUCUUCCCUCUGCCGGUGGCCGAUGCCUCAGCAAUGACCGGCGACCAUCAUAGGCUACAAGUGAGGGCAUUGAGCGAGACUUGCAAGCCUUCUCCUAGAUUUGGGCAAGGGCCCUAUAGGCCCUCAUUGGCCGUAGGCAAGGUUGGGGACUUGCAAGCCCUUGCCUAGAUCUACCCUCUAAUGGGGUCAAUGCCUGCCAUCACCAAAGCCUCAAUGUCUUGCUCUGGAAAGAAAAUGAACAGCAGAGAAGGAGACAAUAGGAAAAGAAAGAAAAAAGAAAAAGAGAGGAAAGGAAAAAGGGAAAAAAUCUGAAAAUAAUAACAAAAAAUUGCAAAAUGACGUUGUUUCAUUUAAGAUCAUCCAUGUCAAUUGCCAAUCAUGCAACGUGGCCUACCUUGUUGGAUGUAGUAGAUUUAGGAUAUUUUGAAUAUUUUUCUCCUAUUAAAUAUGCCCGGUUUAUUUGAUAUCCUAAAAUUUGUCAACUUUGUGAAAUCAAGUUCUAAAAUUUGUUGGCACUCUUUUCAUAUUGGAUGAAGUUAAUGAAAUGACUUGAUUACAACUACUUGGUAAGUUUUAUGACUUGAUUGUAAUUUUUGAAAAUUGUCGGACUCAAUUGCAUCUCUAUAAUAAGUUUUAAAACUUGAUUACGCUAUCUAAAAAUUUUAAGAUUUUCAAUAUACUUAUCCCUAAAAUAAAAUAAAAAGGGCCUACCCCCUUUACAUGAACUCUUUAAUUUAAACGCACCAUGGAAUUUCCUGUCCUUUUACACAAUUUCAUUAACUAAGAUUUUAUUUUAUUUUUUGGGUUAAAACCAAGAUUUAGUUCUUCUUCUUCUUUUUUUUCGGACCAGCCAAGAUUUAGUUCAAAGAUAGAUAUUUUGAGGAGAAAAAAAUUUCAGCAAACUAUGCAAGGAUUUGCAAAAGAUCGCAACAAUAUUACCGGAAGCAUAUAAUUAUUUAUCACUGACGAAUGAUAUAGUAAAAAUUCUUUUAGAAGUUUACCUUAAGUUUAGCAAGAUCUGCUUAUUCGGCAGCCUUGAGUUUCUUCGAUUCCUUCUCUCUUGCCUUCAAACAGAUAUAGAAAUGGCAACGCAGAAUAUCAAGAUAGAUUGCCAUUGACAAAGCUGUAAAAGCCUACUCAAUCGAGCAAAACUGGGACAGUUUUUCCAGCAAUCUUGACCACCUCCGUAGCAUGCCGUGGAAAUAGAUAGGAACACAUGUAGAGGGACAAGCUGAUUAUCACUUGCUUUUAGUCAAGCAUUCGAAACUUUGAGAUUCAUGCACUAUAAGAUAGCUAGACAAGCAAAAAAAAUGAUGGGCAUUUCAGUUGAGGUGUCAAGAGCAAUUAGAUUGAAUUCAAACCAAAUAAAGCUUGACGCAGAAAAGAGAAAUGUUGUGCAUUGAGCGAAUAUAUGACAAAAUAAGUGCAAAGAGAGUCAAUGAUGUUCUAGCGCUUUGGCCAAUUGAGUUCUUAAAAUUUUACUUUGCUUAAUUGAAUCCUCGGCCUUUUCAAUUUCAGUCAAUUGAGUCCCUCAACCUUGAUCCUCGGAAAUAGUCACAUGGCUAUGAUUUUCCAAGUUGAUAAGAAGAUGCUCGAGAAGAAAACCGGGUAGGAGGUGAAAUGGGACCUAAGUGCAAGUUUUACUAUUUCAGUAACUACAAUUGAUCUGACAGAAGGUUGAACUUUCAUGGAUCUGGCACUUCGUUUGAAGCUAUACAAACAGAAAUCAGCGGGCUCAAGAAGCCAAUCUUUUAGACAGUUUCUGAAUUAUCACACAGAAAAGCACUAGGAUAUCUUUACACAUUCACUUAUUAUAUCCUCUAUAAACUAACAGUUAUUAGAGUAUAUUAGGCAUCAUUUAUUUGUAGUACAUUAGGUACAGAUGUCCUCUCUCUGAAAUUCCCUCUUUUCCUCUUCUUACGAUUAGCUUUGCCAGAAGAUGUUUCCAACUUCCGACAUUGAUGAUGUCAUUUCAAGGAGUUCUCAAUGUUUAUCACAAAUCGGUACUUAACAUCUCUCUUGAUGAGCCCCUCAAGGGCUUCAUUGGCAUAAUCGAUCAGUAUCACUUCGAUUUCUUGGUGUAUGUGCUGUGGCGCACAGAGGUCUAUCAUUUCUUGGAUAUACUUCAUUCCUCCAGUAGCGCUACCCAAAACUGUUUUCAUACCUGCAAAAAGUUCAUUGUGAGCAACUUAGUUGGCUUGCCUAUCAGGUAUCAAUAUUUCAUUCGGUAAUGAGCUUUGAGAAUAAAAACAUACCAAGGUUAAGGGAGGAAGUACACUAAUGGUGCCAUAAGUUAUGUACGGCGCUCACUUUGGUGUCAAAAAUUUUUGUCGGAUCACUUAAGUGCCAAAAAUUUUGAAAAACGAUCACUUUGGUGCCAUCGUCGAUUUGGUUGGUCGGAAAUCUGACGUGACAAUUUUUUAUUAAUUUUUUAUGCCGACGUGGAUCGUCGGAUAAUACAAUCAACAAACAAAGAACAAAACGAUGCCGUUUACCAUUUUCCCCCAAAUAAAAACCCCUAAAUCCCUAAUUUCGACUAGAACUGGAAGUUGAAAACCCUAAAUCCCCAAUUCGACCAUUUCGAGUGCAUAUUUCGAUUUUCUGCCAAAGUUAUCAACUUGCUUUUGCAAAUGGAGGACAAAAGUUUCAACAGUGGCUCGCAUUCCUAUAAGAAAAGCGAAUUAGAUGGUGAGUGUUACUGUUAUUGUGGGUUACCGAGUCCGAGAAGAAUAUCUUGGACUUGGUUGAAUCCCGGGAGAAGAUUCCAUGGGUGCGGCAGAUAUAGAGAAAGCUCGAAGUGCCAUUAUUUCAAAUGGGUUGAUAGGAAAUUCUCUAAUCGAGCGACAUAUGUGAUAUUGGAGUUACUUGAAGGCCAAAAUCAACCUCCAUCUAUGUUAAUGGACGAGCUGGGGGAUGUCGACUCAAUACAAGCUCAAAUGAAGGGUUUAACAUCUCUGAUGGACCAUUUGAAGAGAGAGGUUUCAAGGCUGAAAAUUGAAAGAAACUUUAUCGAGCGUUGAUUGUAUUCUUAUUCUCUUGGGUAGUUUAUUCAAAUGUAAAGUGAGUAAUGAGAAGAAAUUUGUAUGUCUACCAUAGUCGAAGACGUGGAAUAUGCACUUGUAUUGGAUUAUUUAUAAGUAAAAUGUGUUUUUUGGUUUGUUGCAAUUUUUAUAUAGAGCAGAAUGUUUUAUUGUUGUAAUCUAUAGGUAGAAAUGUAAGGUUGGACUUGGAAUGCAUUAGUUGUGAGCACUUAAAAAGUUUUGUUGUUUAGUUGUGUAUUGUCAAUGUUUGUUUUUGUUAGUUUUUACUUCAAAUAUAAUGGUUUACUGCAUUUUUUAUUUGGUAAUAGUUUGCUGCAUUGAAAGCAAACGGUAAUGGUUUGCUGCAUUUUUUAUUUGGUAAUGAUUUGCUGCAUUGAAAGCUUUUGAUAAUGGUUUGCUGCAUUUUUUUUAUUUGGUAAUGGUUUGCUGCAUUUUUUAUUUGGUAAUGGUUUGCUAGUUUGCUGGUUUGCUUCAACUGUUAAACCAUGGCUGAAUGGCCGAAAUUAAAGAAUGGUGCCAAAUUCACGAUUGAUCAUUUCAGUGCCAUAAGUUGUAAAUAGUGAUCGCUUAAGUACCAAGUUUUUAUAGAAGUGAUCAUUUAAGUGCUAGUCGCAAUUACAAAGUGAUCACUUAUGUUGCACAAGUUUUUUAAAAAAUAACAUGUUAGUGCCAAACGUCACAUUCCAAAUGCACAGAGUUCUUGCACCAGUUGAGUUGCUGGUGCAUCUUCUUGCACCAACCCAUACAGAUGUCGAUGCAACAAGAUGUACCAGCACCCAAAGUGCUCUUGUAGCAGCACAUAUAAUCAGAACCCCACAAAUUCAUUAUAAUCCACAACUUUAACCAACAACAGCAACAUUGCAGCAACAACAACAUUGCAAUAACAACAAAAAUAAAAUAUAUAGCAUAACUAACUUGCUAGCAUUCUAGCUAAAACCAACACAAGAGAAAAUGAAAAGUCAUUCCAGUACUUGCCAUUAACAUUGCUUGAUUGUUUACAAAAUACAAAAUACAAAAAAAAAAAAAAAAAACAUGUCUAACUUCACUCCCUAAUCAUCAAAAGUUCAGCACUUUCCUAAAAAAAAACAAUGGCAAUAUGCAAGCAGCAACUACCAUUGAUGAUAUAAUAUCCAGCACACUCCUAAAAAAAGAAAACAUGGAAAGAGACCAUGUCUAGCAUCACAUAAAAAGAGACCAUGUCCAACACCCUCCCAUCAGUCAAUAUUGACAACACCCUGAUCUCUUUUUCUUAUUAGAGCUUUGAAUUGAUUCAUAAUCCGAGCACUCUUUCGAACUGGAUGUGCAGGUUCUUAACUGGGCUUUCUGUCACCUCAUUUUCCUUUUCCUUGUUUUUUACGGCAGCUAUUUUUGUUCUAGCACGUAUCAUGUGUUGGUCCAUAUCAUCACUACUGCUCCCAAUCGUUGGUUGAGAUGGAACUAGUGAUGGGUUCUUUUUGGAUGGCUGUUUCGCAGCUAUACCCACUGUCUUCUUCUUCUUCUUCUUUGGAGCACUCUUCUUUGGAUGCGCCCUUAAUUCUUGAGUUGGCCCACCUUGAGAGAGAAGUACCUCUGAAGUUCUCCCAGGCUACAAGAACAUAAUGAUAUUGUCAACCAAAUGAAUUGAAGUACAACAAAUUAAAUGCAUAAGGCCUAUAAAUUUUACAUUCAAAAUAGUCAUUCCAGUACGUUCAUCUGUGUAAAUCCCAUAACCAUAUUGCCUUAAUUUUUUUCCAAGAGCCCCUUUUGUUCGCUGUGAUGCAUCAUUUUCAGCAACAACAAUCUGAUAUUGCUAGUAUGAGUACCUAGAGGGGGGUGAAUAGGUAUAUAAAGAGUUUUUCUCAAGCAAUUGCACAAUACUAGACAGUUGGAUGAAACGAUAAUCAAAGUAAGACUGAGAGAAGAGAAAAUUUAAUACGCGGUUUAUAGUGGUUCGGCUUAUAUCAAGCCUACGUCCACUCUUCUUCACUGACAGCCUAUUGGCUGGAUUCCACUAUGAACAAGAGAGAGGUUACAGCACAGCUUUGCCUUGAUUCCACAGUGUAGAUGUUCUACUACACCUCCUCAAGAUUUCUCACAAAUAUAGACUCUCUCUUUCGUAUACAAGUAUUCGCUCAAAGGAUUUGUCUAAACAAAAAGAAGUUUCAGACUUUGGAAUUCUUCUAUCGCGCACACCUUGAACAACUAAGACAGUCUUCCUUAUAUACUCCUUUAUGCCAUCAUACCCGUUGGCACUUACCAAAGGAAUUCCUCCAAUCUACCCGUUGAACGGAAUCAAUUAGGAAGAUUGUCCAAGCUAUAAAUGGAACGUGUUGAUAGCCCAUCAAUCAUGUUCGCCCAUACAAUCAGGAUCUCGGUUUCCAUAAGCAGAACCUUCCAAUAAUAUUUAGGCAAUCACCGGAUCUUCAAUUAUCGAAUCAAUCUUCGAUCAAUCAAAGGACUCCGUUUAUGUCUUCUCCAGCCAUGAGAUCUUCUCCAGUUGAUAAGGUUAAAUCCUCAACGAAACAUCCAGUUCUGGAUAACCUUUCUUCAACAAAUUAGAGACUGUCAAUGAGGAUAGACUUUGAGUCUUGAGUCUAGCUGUCCUAAGGUCUUUAGACUUUAAAUAGCAGAGUCUGCAAGCCUUCAGACUAGACUGAUAUAAACGAUUUGUCAACUUCAAAACACUUCAAGAAGAUUUCUCCAACAAUCUCCCCCUUUUUGAUGGUGACAAAACUUUCCUGCAGAUUUGGAUAUCUUUGACCUGCAAAACAUUUCUCAAACACAUAUACAUAUCUUAUAGAGGUAAAUGUCUUAACAGAAUAACACUAGAAUCUGCAACCACAGAAAAUAGGUUAGUCCAGUAUAUGAUGAAGCCAUCCAUAAGAUAUCAAUAUUAGUUAAUAGAAGCAGUCAAGUCCAAGUCUAGUUUACUUCUCAUCCAAACACAAACCAAAGUCAAAUAGAUUCAAACCACAAAACAAUCCAACAAAAACAAUUAAAAGUUGAAUGAAAGGUUUUUAAUCAAAUCUUGCAUCUCUCCCCCUUUUUGUCAUCAUUAAAAAGGAUGAGAUGAAGUUAAGAAUGCUUGGGAACGCGGACAAGCUGGAAAUCUUCCAUAGACUGAACAAUGCCUUCCAACCUUUUAAAGUCUUCCUUUAGCUGUGCAAUCUCCUCACUCUUGGCAUUGGCCUGAUUCUGAACAGAGAGGGCUUGCAUUUUAUCAUUCAAUAAACAGGAAGAAGCUUGACCUUCAUUCUUCAAGCUUUGAACUUCGCAUCCCAAGGCAUAAAUCUGACCUCGCAUCUCCAAAAGAAUAUCCAUGAUUCUGCGAAAAUCUGCUCCAUUAUCAGUUUGAGUACUUGCUUCGGCUCGAUCUGAUGGAGUAAAUGCAGAUGAUGGUAGAUCAGCAUAAUCUUGCAGGUUUGGCGAUGAAACUUCAUGACCUUCUUCUGGAAAUUGAGAUGCAUAAACAUCCUCUGGAUCUGCUGGUGAGCGACUGAUUCCUUCACUUGCAUCAGGACAUGAAGACUUCACUCCUUUCUCCUGAUCUCCCCCUGUUUCCAUGCCUACAGGUGGAGAAGAGUGUUCUUCAGGUUCUCCUUCUUCUCUUCUUUCUUCUUCAGGUCUUUCCUCCUCUGUUUCUUUUUCAGCUUCUAUUUCUUCUUCUUCCUUCUCCUCUGCUUCUUUCGUCAUUUGCUCCGAUUCUUUCUGUGGAACAAGACGACUUAAAUUCUUCAAAGCCAAUGCAGAGAUGGUGAUGUCUUCCUCAUCAUCUUCAUCCUCAACAAGGAGAGCUCUUCUUCUCUUGGAUGGAGCAACCAUGGGCUCCUUCCCUUUUCUUUUAGCUGCAGAAGAUAUUUGAUGAGAUUUUGCAGGAGUCUUCUCCUUGAAUUUCUCCAACUCCUUGCUCAGUUCUUUCAGACGCAUUUUGGUCACCAUUUUCAGACCUACCACCAUAUGAUCGCAUGGUCGAACACAAAAGAUUUGUAGAGGCUGAAUAUUCAGAUGUCUGAAUAACUUCGUAACAAGGCUUGGGUAAGGGAGUUGACCUCCGUCCUUCAUCAUUGCUCUAUACAUGUGAAACAUCACAGUGUGAGGGAGAGAAAACCUUUUUCCAAAGAGAAUGGCAUACAUCAACUUGGCCUCUGAACUUGAAACAUCAGUCUUGGAAGUCGAUUUCGGUCGGAUGCAAUUAAUCACAAUCUUGUGAAGCAAGAUGUUGAAUGCACCCAUCCUUAAGUAGGUGAUCUUUUCAUCUGUUCUCCUGUCCUUCACCAGUUCAAGAGUGGCCCGAGCAAUGGAAACUUUGAUUGGCUGAUAUCUUCCUCUUUCGACUUCUAACACAUCUGCCAGCAUAUUCAUAUCCACAACAUAAUCUUGGUUUUUAACGCUGAACGAGAAUCUAUUCGCAUCCAAAAAGCUUAGAUUUGAAUAGAAAUAUGCAGUUAAUUCAGCAUAGGCCUCUGUAGAGUCAGAGCAGAACUUUUCAAGUUGAAGAUAACUGAACUUUUCCCUCAAGUUCAUAUUCACAGCAUCCAGAAAAUCGAAAUCUACACUCCUAGGGUUUAUCACCCCACGCUUCAGCAAUUUCGAGUACAGAUCCUUUUGCUCCUUUGAUCUGAACAAAUCUCCCCUUUUUCCUUGGUUAUCAACCGCAACACCCAUUUUCGGUUGGAAUUGACUGUACAAUUUAUCAUCAUCAUUCCCAUCUACAGGAUUCGGCCCCCAGUCACGAGGAUCACUUGGGAUAUUUGCAAGGGUUUCCUCAGCCACCCCUUUUCGAGCAAUUCCCAAACUUUCCAUUUUUUUCAGAAAGAUAUAUUCGUUCCCAUGUCCUUUGUCUUUAAGAAAAUCAUCAAUGUAGUUCAAAGGAGUACGAAUUCCUUUUAGGGCACGAUAUAACUGGUAAAUAUAAGUGGGCUUUUGAACUCUUACAGGGUCUGCAUCCUCGAUGAUUUCUUCCUGUUGUUGAUGAUCAACGCCUUGAGGACUAGAUGGAGGAGAAUGACACUGUUGAGAAUGUUGUGGGCUCGCUUGCUGAUCUGGAGUCACUUCAUCUUCAGUAAGAUCGAAGUGCGUAGGCCCCUCACUCAUCCGCCGUGGUCCCCUGCUUGCAAUUCUCGAAGACUUUCUUGAAGAUGACAUCUUAGUUUUUGGAAGAUUCCUUGCUUGACUUUCCCAGGAAAGAUGACAACUUUUUAAGGAUUAAACGAAGAAGACAAACGGGAAUGGAGGAUCGAUGCUUUCUAGGGUUUUUGAGAGAAAAGUGAAGAGGAAUCGAUAGUUCACGAUCGGUUAAGAAGAGGGAUAAACGAACCAUCAUAAAGGAAAUAAAAAUAUGCCUUUUCAAAAUAACUGUCUUUUUCCGCAAAAAUAGCCAUUUCAAAAAUAACUUCCCUUUUGAAAAUGAAACGAUGCAAUAUUUACUUCAAUUAAAUAUAGCAACAAUUUAAACACAGUCUGACAAUCGUACCUUUUCAAGAUGAGAUUCAAGAGAGAAAGACUUACAGUCUGACGGACGUACCAAGACUGUCUUUCAGAUAAAGUCUUGUAAGUCUGAGUCUGAAAGUCUUUAGACUUUGAUAUCCUCAUACCUCAAAAUGUUGAGUCUCGAGCGUAUAGACUCAAAUUGAUUUUUCUCCAAAGGCUUUGUGAAUAUAUCCGCCAGUUGAUUCUUUGAGUCAACAAAUUGAAUUGAAACAUCUCCAUUUUGAACAUGGUCUCUUAUAAAAUGAUGUCGAAUCUCUAUAUGCUUUGCUCUUGAGUGGAGAAUUGGAUUUUUGGUGAGGUUGAUAGCGCUGGUGUUGUCGCAAUUAAUUUCCGUGCAUGAGUCUUCAAUUUCAAAGUCUCUUAGCUGUUGUUUUAUCCAUAGAAUUUGCGAAUAGCAGCUUCCCAGAGCUACAUACUCUGCUUCUGUUGUUGAAAGAGACACAGUGCUUUGUUUCCUUGAAAACCAAGACACUGUCCUGCUUCCAAGCAACUGGCAAGUUCCCGAAGUGCUCUUUCUAUCAACUCUGCAAUCGGCCAGAUCUGCAUCUGAAUAUCCCAUAAGAUUAAAGUCUCCCUUCUUAGGAUACCAAAGACCGAUGCUUGAUGAUGAAGCAACGUAUUUAAUGAUGCGUUUCGCAGCACUGAGAUGGGAUUCUCUAGGAUCUGAUUGAAACCUAGCAUAGAUGCAAACACUCAACAAGAUGUCAGGUCUAGAAGCAGUAAGAUAAAGGAGUGAACCAAUGAUGCUUCUGUACAGCUUUUGAUCAACUUUCUUCCCUUCUUCAUCUUUGUCUAUCUUCAAAGAACUUGACAUCGGUAUGUCGGUCUUUUUGCACUUUUCUAAUCCAAAUCUUUUGACAAGAUCAUUAACAUAUUUUUCUUGAUAAAUAAAGGUUCAUUCCUUCAAUUGUUUUACUUGAAGACCAAGAAAGAAUGUUAACUCUCCCAUCAUACUCAUUUCAAAUUCAUCCUGCAUAGACUUAGAAAAUUUCUUGCACAUAUUUUCAUUAGAAGAUCCGAAUAUAAUGUCGUCCACAUAUAUUUGAACAAGUAAGAAACUUUUGUUCUCCUUUUUGAUAAAUAAAGUAGUAUCCACUUUACCUUUGACAAAACCAUUUUGUAUUAAAAACUUACUUAAUCUGUCGUACCAAGCUCGAGGUGCUUGCUUUAAACCAUACAGAGCCUUCUUCAGUCUGAAGACUGAGUCUGGCUUCUUUGGGUCUUCAAACCCUGGUGGUUGUUCCACAUAAACUUCCUCUUGGAUGACUCCAUUUAGGAAGGCGCUUUUGACGUCCAUUUGGAAUAACCUGAAAUUCUUAUAACAAGCAAACGCAAGUAAUAGUCGAAUAGCUUCUAACCUUGCUACUGGAGCAUAAGUCUCAUCAUAGUCUAUUCCUUCUUCUUUCAUAUAUCCCUUGGCCACGAGUCUUGCUUUGUUUCGUAUGACUUUUCCUUUCUCAUUCAUCUUGUUUCUGAACACCCAUUUAGCUCCAAUAACAGUUUUACCUUUUGGUUUGGAUGUCAAUUUCCAGACAUCAUUAAUGCUAAACUGUCUGAGCUCUUCUUGCAUAGCUUCAAUCCAGCUUUCAUUAGAUAAAGCUUCUUCUAUGCUUUUUGGUUCAAUUUUAGAAACGAGAGCCACAACACUAGACUUUUCUCGCCUUUUGGAUCUAGUGCGAAUUCCUUCAUUCAUUUCGCCGAUUAUAAGAUCUUUGGGAUGACUGGACUUAUGCUUCCAGUUACUCGUUGAUCUGUCUGGUUGAUGAUUUCUUUCUUUGUUUGGAUCUUCACGAACAUCUUGAAGCUGGUUUUCCAGAGUCUGAGAUGCUUCUUGAGAUGUAAGCUUUGGAAGAUCUGGAGCAGGUUCAGACUCUUCUUGAUGAGUCUGACUUGAUUCAUCUUGUGUUGAGUCUUGGAAUUUGACAUUCAUUGACUCCUCCAUAAACUGGCUCUUCUUGUUAUAGACUCUGAAGGCUUUGCUUGAUGUAGAAUAUCCAAGGAAGAUACCUUCAUCUGAUCUUUCUUCAAACUUACCAACUUGAUCUUUUGCAUUUUUCAAUAUAAAACAUUUGCAACCGUAUACAUGAAAGUAUGAAACAAUAGGCUUCUUAUCUUUGAACAAUUCGUAAGGGGUUUUCUCUAGAAUAGGUCUUAAGAAGAUUCUAUUGAUGAUAUAACAUGCUGUUGAAACAGCUUCAGCCCAAAAUCGUGAAGAAAUCUUGCUUUCAAAUAAAAGAGUUCUAGCCAUUUCCUGAAGAGAUCUGUUCUUUCUUUCCACAACUCCAUUUUGCUGAGGAGUAUAUGGAGAGGAGAACACAUGAUUAAAGCCAGAUUCAUCACAAAAUUUUGUAAAAUCUUGAUUUUCAAAUUCACUUCCAUGAUAUGUUCUUAUACUUGAGAUAACACAUCCUUUUUUCAUUUUGAACCUUUUUAGCAAACUUUUCAAAAUACGAGAAGGUUUCAGACUUACUUGCAAGGAAAUAUACCCAAGUAAAACGGGAGUAAUCGUCCACAAUUACUAGGCAAUAUUUCUUACCUCCAAUACUCUGUGUUCUGGUUGGUCCGAAGAGAUCCAUAUGCAGCAACUGUAGUACAUGAUUAGUAGAGACAUGAUUUAUUGGCUUGAAUGAAUUUCUUAUCUGCUUUCCCAGAAUACAUGGAGUGCAUGGAUCAGUCUUUUGAUAAGGUAAUUUGGGUAGUCCUUGAACAAGCUGCUUUGAUGAGAUUUUGGCUAAUUGCUUCAUGUUAACAUGACCAAGCUUUCUGUGCCAUAAGCUUGCUUCGUCUUGAAUUGAGAUAAAACAUUGCGAUUCAUUUGGUUUCACAUCCAGAAGAUAAAUGUUUCCAUGUCUACGACCCAUGAAAGACUGAGUAGAGUCUUUACUGAUUCCAGAACAUAUUCCUUCUUGAAAAAAGAUCUUGAAACCAGUAUCACACAAUUGACUAAUGCUGAGAAGAUUGUAAUUGAGUCCUUCCACUAAGGAAACAUUACUUAUUGUGAGAUUUCCAAUUUUCACAGUUCCAAAUCCCACAAUACUCCCUUUGUUGUUUCCUCCAAAUGAAACUUUUCCACCAUUUACUUGAGCAAUCUUUAUAAAACAAUUUGAGUCUCCUGUCAUGUGUCUUGAGCAUCCACUGUCAAGAUACCACUUUACCUUUUUCUUGACGGUGACCUGCAUUUAAAAAAGAGUCUCAAGCUUUCUUUGGUACCCAAACUUUCUUGGGUCCUUUUGUGUUAGUAACAUAAGCAGUAUUAGCCCAUAUUCUCUUAACAGGUUUCCAAACCAUAGGACACUCUUUUUCAAGGUGAUCCGGACUGUUGCAUUUUGAACAUUUUAGAGCAUUUCUUCCUACAGAUUUUACAAAAACUUUCUUGAAGUGAUUUUUGUAAACCUCUCUCGAGAGUCUUUUCUUAAUUCUUUCUUUUACUUUAGGAAAAUCAAUCAGGGGAAUUGUUUCUUCUGUCAUACCUAAACCGGACUUAUUGAAGUAAGGUCUUUGAGCUGAAAGAAUUUUCUCAAGUUUUUCGGACCCUAUUGAAAAUUUCUUUGAGAUAUUUGAUAAGUCUGUUUUUAAAAAAGCAUUUUCUUUUAAAAGAUCAUCUUCAUUUUCUUUAAGAGUGGAAACAGUCAAGUCAAGACUUUUAACUCUUUCUACUAAAACAUUUUCCUUUUGUUUUAGAGCUGAGUUUUCCUUUUUCAGUUCGGAAAUUCUUUUGAGAGAAGUCUUAAGACUAAAACAUAAUUCAUCAAUAUAUUUAGAAACUUUGACAGGAAUUUUAAUAUCACUUGCCUCAAAUUUACUGUCUGAGUUUGAUCCAGAGUCUGAGUCUGAUUGUGCCAUCAGACAUAGAUUGGCAUAUUCAUUAUCACUUUUUUCACACUCUGUGUCACUCCAUGUUUUGGCUUUGAGAGCUUUUCGAAAUCUUUCAGCUUUUCCUUUCUUCUUUUUCAGAAGAGGACAGUUGGGUCUGAUGUGUCCCUUUUUCUUACAUUCAAAGCAGACUAUGUCUUUGUUUGGUUCCUCAUCAUCAACAGACUUGGUCUGCUGUCUUUGAAAGCUUUGUUUCUUUGAAUUGAACCUUCUUCCUUUUCUAUUCAGUUUUCUGAAUCUUCUUAUCAUGAGAGCAAGCUCCUCAUCGUCCAUAUCUUCUUCAGAAUCUGUAUCAUCAGAAUCAUUAUUUGAUUUUAAUGCAAUGGAUUUCUUACCUUUUGGAUCUUCAUCUUCAUUGAUCCAUUCCACUUCAUAAGACUGAAGAGUUCCAAUUAGCUCGUCGACAGAUAGUGGCAUAAUUCUUUGCGUCUCUCUUAUCGAAGUCUUUAUGUGAUUCUAAUCCCUGGAGAGUCCACGCAGUAGCUUGUUUACCUUCAUGGGAUCAGAAGUUGGUUGACCUUGAUUUUCAAGACCAUUCACAAUAUCUGUAAAACGACUAAACAUGUCAGAUAUAGAUUCUCCUGGUUUCAUUCUGAAGGCUUCGUAUUGACCAAGAAGAAUGUUGAUUAUAGUUUCCUUCACUCGAUCUGUUCCUUCAUAAGUGAUAUGCAAUCUAUCCCAAACUUCUUUUGUUGUACCACAAGAAGAUAUUCUAUUAUAUUCAGUUGGUGAUAAAGCACAAUAUAAGGAGUAAAUUGCUUUUGCAUCGAGUGCUUGUCUUUUGUUUAUUUCUUCCUGAGACAUUCCGCUGGUUUCAUCAGUUUCUUUUCCUCUUUCAGAUACUGAUGCAGUGGUAGGAGUAAUUCCUUUUUCUACAACGUCCCAUUCCAGAGGAUCCUUUGAUCGAAGGAAAGCUUUCAUCUUGUUCUUCCAGAUGUUGUAAUCCUUUCCAUCAAAGUAGGGUGGUCUGGUAUUGCUUUGCCCUUCCAUCAACCCUGGUGCUAGCAUACUAGCCAUGGAUCUUUUACUACGAAGUAAAACACUUCAAAUAAAGUAAGUACACAGGCUCUGAUACCAAUUGAUAUUGCUAGUAUGAGUACCUAGAGGGGGGUGAAUAGGUAUAUAAAGAGUUUUUCUCAAGCAAUUGCACAAUACUAGACAGUUGGAUGAAACGAUAAUCAAAGUAAGACUGAGAGAAGAGAAAAUUUAACACGCGGUUUAUAGUGGUUCGGCUUAUAUCAAGCCUACGUCCACUCUUCUUCACUGACAGCCUAUUGGCUAGAUUCCACUAUGAACAAGAGAGAGGUUACAGCACAGCUUUGCCUUGAUUCCACAGUGUAGAUGUUCUACUACACCUCCUCAAGAUUUCUCACAAAUAUAGACUCUCUCUUUCGUAUACAAGUAUUCGCUCAAAGGAUUUGUCUAAACAAAAAGAAGCUUCAGACUUUGGAAUUAUUCUAUCGCGCACACCUUGAACAACUAAGACAGUCUUCCUUAUAUACUCCUUUAUGCCAUUAUACCCGUUGGCACUUACCAAAGGAAUUCCUCAAAUCUACCCGUUGGACGGAAUCAAUUAGGAAGAUUGUCCAAGCUAUAAAUGGAACGUGUUGAUAGCCCAUCAAUCAUGUUCGCCCAUACAAUCAGGAUCUCGGUUUCCAUAAGCAGAACCUUCCAAUAAUAUUUAGGCAAUCACCGGAUCUUCAAUUAUCGAAUCAAUCUUCGAUCAAUCAAAGGACUCCGUUUAUGUCUUCUCCAGCCAUGAGAUCUUCUCCAGUUGAUAAGGUUAAAUCCUCAACGAAACAUCCAGUUCUGGAUAACCUUUCUUCAACGGAUUAGAGACUGUCAAUGAGGAUAGACUUUGAGUCUUGAGUCUGGCUGUCCCAAGGUCUUCAGACUUUAAAUAGCAGAGUCUGCAAGCCUUCAGACUAGACUGAUAGAAACGAUUUGUCAACUUCAAAACACUUCAAGAAGAUUUCUCCAACACAAUCCUUGUAGCAACCUCUGCAACUUGUGCAGUUGCUCGUCUUCUCACCUAAGAAACACAUAACAAAUGUAAAUUUUAGCCCAUAAAAAGGCCAAACACAGUGAUGUACAACUUACAGGAUAUUUUUUUCUUGUUUGCUCAACGGUGGACUCAGUUGUUAUUGUUGCUGUCUUACCAAUUCUAGUCCUUAUCCCUGCACUUGAGCCUACAACAUGGCCUUUUUCUGGCCCUUUAGUAGGCCUUACAACAAUGUGCUGUAUUAGGAUUAUGACCAACUACAACGAAUAAUUACACAUCUCAUUUUCAUAGUGGAAACACAUGGAGAAAACUUCUCAAAUUACAAGUGCAUGACAGAGGAAAAGCACAAGAGAAGCUAGUACACAUGGUCAACCAUCAAACUCUAUCGAAUAAGAACUGUAAAGUUACUGAGAUAAAGAGGAUACUUACCUUACAGUAUGGCUUUCUGUUGCCCUUUAGUAGACAUUACAGCAGGGCCUUCUGUUCUCCCUUCAAUAAGCCCAACAAGAAACUCUUUGUAAGUCAUGUCCCUGGCAUUGAAUCAACCAUUACAUCUUGCUAUUGAUACUGCUUUUUCAGCUCACAACCUUUCUUAUCGUGCCCUUCCUUGCGGCAAUAGGAGCAUUUCAUAUUUGAUCUAGUCCUACUCAUCCUUUGACUUGAUGCCUCUUCCUAUUGCAUUCUUCGUCUCUUUUUUGGCCUUCAUAUUUGCUUCUUCAGCGGUAAAGGUAGAGGGCUUUAAUGAUUUGUUGGCUCCCAAAAUUUGCUGCUUCUGAUAGGCUACAUCAUGAAUUGGUAUGAAGCAAGGUAUGAGCUUUUUUUGUACCAAUCAUCUAGGUAAUCAUCUAGGUUUUCUUGCUUCAUCUGAAUAGCACAAAUGGCAUGAGCACAGGGAAUUCCAUUCAGUUGCCAAGCUCGGCAUGAACACUUUCUUCUAUCCAAGUUGACAACAUACUUAUCAUGAUUUGGAAUAAUCUCAUACCCAUUAUCUUCAUUCCAAACUGGAUGGCAGAACCUACUAACAGCAAUAUUUGCAUCUAAUCUCUUCACAAUCCUAGGGCCACAGUCUCUACUCCAUUUUGUAGCAUCAUCUCUUUGCCUAUGCAGUCUAGUCAUAACCAUAACUCGAAUAUCAUCAAGCAUGCUGAUGAUUGGUUUGCACCUAGCCUCUAAAAUUCUACCAUUGAAAGCUUCAUUGAGGUUGUUAUCAAUGUUAUCGCAUUUGAACUCUUCGCUGAAGAAGACCCGACACCAGUGCUUAGCUUCUGUCUGGAAGAGUGUAUCAAAACCUUCAUUUGUCAGCUGUAACAAUCCUUGUUUCGCUAAUUUGAAAUCAACCAUAUUCGUACUCUUUGCUAUCUGCCAGAACUGCUUCUACAACAUAUCUCCUUUGAAGUUCCUUGACCAGUUUGCAUAUAUGUGCCUCGUGCACAUUCUAUGCUCAGCAUGUGGCAUCAACUCAGCCAAUGCAGGAAUAAGUCCAUACAAAAAUUCAAACCAAUAAAUACAAGUCAAGAAAAAUAUGCAAGUGAUUAAUAUAUAAAUGAGUGAUUAUUGACAUGAAAUUACCUUCUAUUGGUUGCUCAUGAAUGCCCAUCCUCCCCCAUCGGUUAUCACAAGGUCAGUCAUCAAAUUUUUUAGGAACCAUGACCAAAUAUCCUUGUUCUCUAUCUUUACCACCGCCCAAGUUAUCGGGAACAUUUAAUUAUUGGCAUCUCUCCCCACAGCAACCAACAACUCCCCCUUGCAUAAACCCUUUAGAAAGCAUCCAUCCAAUCCUAUAACUCUUCUACAACCAACCAAGAAGCCCCGUUUGCAUGCAUCAAAACAGACAUAAAAUCUAUCAAAUUUAGGCCAAAGAUCAGGGAGUGGCCUCUUCACAACCUCUACAUAUACCCUACUGGAUGGGUUUUGAAACAUGUAUUCACCAGCAUAAUUCCAUACCUGUGCAUAUUCUUCUUUAUACCCACCCAUCAAUAUUUUCAUCACCCUUAUCUUAGCUCUCUUACAUUGAUUCCUCGACACAUUAACCUCCACUUGCUCCUUCACUAAUUGUUGAAAUUGAGAACUCUUGAUCUCGGGCAUUGCUUUGAUAGUAUUAAAAAAAUUCUUUGAUAACCACACACUUGUUACCCUUUUAUUAUUAAAGAUAAUUGGACAAGUAUGCUCCUCCUGAAAGGACCUAAGCUAGAAUGACCUAUUCUUACUAAGCGCAGCAUAGAGCUUCCAUGAACAAUUAGGUUGUGAGCACUUAGCUCUCACAAAUUCCUUCGUGUUUCUAAUAAAUUUAACGCUCCUCUGUUCACCAAUUGAGUUCUUCACAACAGCUUCCUUGAACUGUUUGGCAUUGUCAAAUCUCAUGCCCACCGACAAAACAGGUUUAUCAACAGUUGAAUCAUAGAAAGGAUACUUACUUUUUCUUCGAGGAGCAGGUUCUUCAUCAUCAUUGUCAAGCUCAUUUUCCGAACUAGUAACUUCAUCGCCACAGCUUUCUUCAUCUUCACUUCUAUUACCCUCAGCUUGAUCUCCAUCCCUAUUUACUGGCUCGGACCUUUUUGCUAAAGCUACAAGUUUUUUUUUCUCAGAAAUUCCCUUUGCUUUUGUCUUGACUGUACGAGUUCAUCAUCAUCUUCGUCACUUGGAAAAUUUACUAAAGCCAAACAUUCAUCUUCCGAUUCAUUAGAUAAAGCAAUUUCCCAUUCUAAUCCAAUGAAGUCUUCAUCGCCCACAUCUUCACCCAAAUCUUCACCCAAAAUUUCAGGACAUCUCCCUCUUUGUUCAUCUCUAUCAAUAUGACUUAUCUCCCUCUCAUUUUGCCCUUCAUCUAACCUAAACUUAUCCCCGACUUGAUUACUCGUUUGAACAAGAUCCCUCACUUCUCCUCCUUCAGUGGUCGUCUGCUCAUCCACAUCCUCAUCCUCAUCCUCACUAUAAUACUCAACAUAUACCUUAACUUCUUCAUUGUGAAGAUAAUGGUAAAUGAUAUCCUUAAUACCAUUAUCGUUGUUAAAAAAUCUUAACCCAUCCUUCAAUUCCUUCCCAGGAACACAGUAAUGUAGUUUUUGCACUUUGCAUCGUAAAAAAUACACCAAAUCUCUCAGAAAAUCAAUAUAUGAUGGCUUCCAAACAUUGACAUAAAUAGUACCUUAAUUUCCACUAUUUUAUUAUCAAUCUUCAGUGCCAAUAACAAACUCUCCACCAUAGUAAACAAUGACGCUUACCUGAUUCGUGUCCAUGUCGAUGCUGCACCCAAUGAAAAAAAAAAGAGUCAUUGUCGUUUUGUUGGAACCACAUGACAGAAUCGACAACUUCACAUGUAGGUCCUUAUCGUUUUGUUGUCAAGGAACAAAUGCGACUAAAAUCUCCCCAAUUCGGUGGAUUUACAGAAAUAAAAGAAACCGAAUUAAAUAAACAAAGUGAGGUCCCCACCACUCAUUUUUCAAUUCAAUCACAUUCACAUUCGGUCCCCCACAAAAGCAGUCCAAUUAAUUAAAUAAAAAAAUUCGGUCCACCACUGUUUCCCUCCGAGUCAAGCCUCUCCGCACCAUUUUUUCUGUUCGGUCCUCACAAUAGAAAACGAACAAACGAUGGAAGAAUCAAUUUUUCUAUUCCGUCCCCAUAAAAGUGACAUCCCCACCACUUUCCCCACUACUUUCCGCUUGAGCCAAGCCCUCAAUUUGCCCUCCGUGCCCUAAUUUGCCCGUCGGAACCCUAAUUUUUUCGCAAAAUUGAUCCACGUAGAGAACAUGACAAACUUGAACGAUCGUGAACAAUGGCGCAACUACAACGGUGGCCAAGCGAUAGUGGGCGAGCGACAGCAGGCGAGCGAACGACGGUGGGUGAACGACAGUGGGUGAGCGAGCUCCGGCCAGCGUCGAGGAGAAUAAUAUACGAACCCUAUUUUACUCCCUCUUCAGCAACAUCGUUUUUUGCUAUGGAGCAACGCGGCGUCGUUUCUUAUGUGAAUCCACGGUGGAUGGCAAGAAACAACGUUGUUUCUUACAAAGAAAGGAAAACGGCGUCGUUUUAUGCUAUCCACCGUGGACAAUCUUAAGCCACAUCGUUUUUUUUUUAAAUAUAAAAGCCACGUAUUUAUUUUGGCCGAAAUUUCUCGCCAGUGGCACCAAAGUGAUCGUUUUUUCUCCGAUUUGGCACUUAAGUGAUUUGACGGAAACUUUUGACACCAAAGUGAGCGCCGUACACAACUUAUGGCACCAUUAGUGUACUUUUCCCCAAGGUUAAGGCUUGCCACACUGAAUGUAACUUCGCUUUGGGACCCAACCAACGCUAGAACGCCACCCGUCUUCAAAAGAGACAUGUAAGGAUCAAAUAGGUGAUCAGCAGAUGCCGUGUCGAUUAUAAAGUCCAGGGACUUAGCCAUGGCCUGCAUGUAUUGGAAUCAUCAGAUCACGGUAGCACUUGACCUUAAUGGAUCUAAAGUAUUGAUAAUUUUAAAUCUUCCCGCCUGCCUUCGUCUAUUCUUGGUCAGAUGAGAUAACGAAGUGGUCAGCACCAAGCAAGCUCAGUGCUUCCUCCUUUUUAGAAAUGCUUGUACUAAACAUAGCGAAUUUCAGUCCAUAAGCCUUCCCAAGCUUAAUUGCCAUGUGACUGAGCCCACCGAGUCCAAUUACACCAAGAGACUUACCCGGUUGGUUCAUCUUGUGACGCACCAUUUGAGUGUAUAUUGUGAUUCCAGCACAAGGCAAUGGUGCUGCUAAAGCCAACGGGAAGUUUUCUGGAAUCCUGAAGCAGUACCUGUUAAUGAAGCACCACAAUUAAGUUUCCAAAUCACACCAAAGGAGGAAGGGAUUUCCCAAUAGAAUCAGCAUCCCAUCUUUUUUGUACAACGGGAUUCAAAUCACAUUUUACUUGCUUAGAGCACAAUUCAACAUCAUGUGGUUUCUGUGAUUCUUUUUCUGACCACAAAUUGCUUAAGACGAAAACUUCUUGCUGUAGCGACGAAAGUAAAGCCACUGCAGCAUACAGGAGGCCAUACUUGAUCAAAAUUGAGAAAAGAGGCUUGCUCUAACAGAGUACACUGGAAGCAUAUUGCAUAUGCAUGGCAGAUCAUGUAAUUUCUCUAUUCCCCUCAAUCAUGUCUCUAAGGGACACGAUAUUCCCGUGACUGUCGAAUACAAGAAUCCGUGAAAGCACGUACAUUUUAUUACCCAUUUGAUCUAACACUUACCAUCUAACUCUUGGAAACAAUCUAAAAAAAGGGAGGAAGAGGAGAUAGAAGGCAAGAAUUGAGCAAUUUCCAUCUGUUUCUCUCUUUUAAUUAAGAGUUAAUAUCCUAAAAAACUCCAAAUUGGUACACAUGUGACAAAUUUACCCCGAUGGACUAUUAAAAACCCUAAAAUUAUAUAUUUAUGACAAAUUUACCCCAAACUAAUUUAUUCGACCACAAAAAAAAUGGUAAAUUUGUGACAAAUAUAUCCUCCACUAAAUUGAAUUAAUACCAUAGUAAACCGUGACAAACGGAGCGUAAAAUCUCAAAUUGAUAUACUAGUCAACUGUCACAUGUCAUUUAACUUAAUAAUUUGACAGUAAAAUUUAAUGAAAACUAAUAGAAGGUAAAUUUGUCACAAGUGUACCAGUUUAGAGUAAAUUUGUCAAAUAUAUAACAAUUUAGAGUUUUUUGUGGUAAAAAAAAAUAGUUUGGAGUAAAUUUGUCACAGGUAUAUCAGUUUGGGGUUUUUUAGGGUAUUAACCCUAUAAUUAAUUUAGUUUUAAAUUUAAUCUUAUUAAUUUUUCAUGAAAAAUUCAUAUGUUAAAUUUAUUGGCUCACAUGUCAUUGUCACUUGAUGUGUAUGAUAUAUAGAAUAGUCCAAGAAAUUUGACUUUAGAUACAUGGGAACCCGCGAAUGGUCAUACAUUGUCGAUUACACAUUCAACAUGAUGUAUUAGCUAAUCAUAGUCCUCUAACGGUUUAUAUUUGCUUAAUAUAUUUCAAGAAUAUUAAUUUGUUAGACUUGUCCGCUCACACGCCGCUGUCACUCGAUGUGUAUGAUAAGCAGAAUAGUCGAAGAGCUUUGACUUUAGAUACUUGGGAGUGUCUAUGCUUGUUUUAUGUCUAUUAUGCUUGCAAUGCUUCUUGUUUUGAGUGGACAGUACAAAUAUUUAAGUCCGUGUCAAUUUGAACAAUUUUCUUUAUUAUAGAGCAACAGUCUUUAAUCUAUUGUGUUCUUGACCACAAAAAACCAAAUAACAAAUAAGUAUAAAUUAUUGUAGGGUCCAACGACAAUCUUUAAUCUAUUGUGUUCUUGACCACAAAAAAUCAAAUAAUAAAUAAGUAUACAUUAUUAUAGGACCCACUCCUUUAAAAAUUUGUUGUUCACAAAAACUUAUUUAUUCUCAUAAUAACCCAAAGUUAUGCUAGCAAAAAUGCAAUUUAAUCCUAAAAUUUGUCACGAAAUGCAAUUGAGUCCUAAAAUUUUCAAAAAGUACAAUUAAUUAUAAAGAUUUAUCAAAAUUGGUCCAAUUUAAGUCAUUCCAUUCAUUGCAAUUUUUGAAAGUUUUAGAGCUCAAUUAUGCUUUCCUAACAAGUUUUAUGACUUAAUUAUAAUUUUUGAAAAUUUUAGAACUUAAUUGUAAUUUAUGAUAAGUUUUAGGAUUUCUAGUACACUUAUCUUUUUUUUUUGUUUUUCACCUCAUUAAUCUUUUUUGCAACAAUGAGCUUGACAUAUCUCUGUUUUGAGGAUUUCAGUGGCUAGGGGAAACACAGGGAUGUCCUCUAAUGAAUCAACAAUCUUCCUGCCAUGACAAUGCCGGAAGAGAGAUGAGUGUCUUACAUAGUUAACAAAAAUGUUCAUGUUAUAAUUGGUAAGCAUUCGCUUUCCCAACGUGCAUGAACAUUUCCGGCGAUGAAACAUUCGUGAGGAGCCAGUAAAGACAUCCUGUUAUUUAAACCGGCAAGAGGAUAUCGAGCUUGCUCUAUUGGCAAGUAUAUUGUUGUCAGAUAAGCCUAAUAAAUCCGAUAUUUUCAUACAAAAAAUCGUCAUCGAGGCCAACUUAAUCCAAAAUGCCAAUGGACAGGCUUGGGUAAGCUAGUGGAUAGGUAUGCCGCUUUAUCUUAUGUCGUGUUAUCUCACGAGAGAUGGUGCUGCGUUCUCUUUAGAAUGCACAUGACUUGGGAUAGGAAAACCUUAGGAUCCGACUAGGAGGAAGGAAAAAAGCAAUCUAUUGUCGGGCCAAUAUAAGAUCAUUUCAUGUCAAACUCCGCAGUCUUGAGGCCAUGGAAUCUACGACAUACUUGCUCAUUCACAAGGACUGAGCAAAUAAAUGAUAAAAUAAGAGCAAUGGUCGUCAUUGAUCGUCUGCCCUUUAACUGAUUGGAUUCUAAAUAUUUUAUUUUCAAUUGGGGUCUAAAUAUUUUAUUUGAUUCAAUUGACUUCUAAAGAUUUCCAAUUUUAGUCAAUCAAGUCCCUCAAAUAUUAUCCUCGGAAAGAGCCACAUGGCUGUGAUUUUCCUAGUGGCUAAGGAGAUGCUUGAGGAGAAAACCUGUAGGAGAGGCGAAGCCAUCCAAGCAGAACUCUCAAGAAGUCAAUUUUUCAGACAGUUUCUCAAUCAUCACAUAGAGAAGUACCAGGAUUUCAUUACCCAUUUCACUUGUUUCUGCUAUAAAACUCACGAGUAUCGAAGUAUAUCAGGCAUAGUUUAUUUGUACUCCAGCAGAGCAAUUAAGAAGGCAUAGAUGAUGCUCUCCUCUAGCUGAAAGCCCGAAACUCCCACUUUUCCUCUGUGUGAUCAGCCUUGCCAGCAACAAUUUCCAACUACCCAAAUUGAUGUUGAAAUUUAAUCAAAUAGACUCAGAGAAGAAAACAAACAAGAGAAUUGUUGCUGUAACUUUCGUUACUUUAUUCAUCAGAACAUAAGCCUAUUAAAUAGGCAGAACAUCCAAACCACUUAGCAAGACAAUAGCUAUAGAACAACAACAAAGACCCACUAACAUACCCCACUAACCAGAACAUAUGCAGAAACUAACUCCUAAAAACAAGCCACAUCCUAUUGACUAGGACUCCACUAUUACAUUAUUGAAGACACGUAAAAACUGAAAGUUAACUACUUCAACAAUUGAUGGUGUCACUUCAAGGAGUUCUCAAUGUCAAUCACGAAUCGAUACUUAACAUCUCUCUUGAUGAGCCUCUCCAGAGCUUCGUUGGCGUAAUCGAUCGGUAUCACUUCAAUGUUUGGGUAUAUCUUCUGCACCGCACACAAGUCUAUCAUUUCUUGGGUAUUCUUUGUUCCUCCCGUUACGCUACCCGUAACAGUUCUCAUAUCUGCCAAAAGUUCACCGCGAGCAACUUAAUUCACCUAUCAGGUAUGAAAUUUCAUUUAGUAAUCAGAUUUGAGAACAAAAACAUACUGAGGUUAAGGCUGGCUGGACUGAAUUUAACUUCGCUCGGGACGCCGACCAAUGCUAGAAUGCCACCCGUCUUCAAAAGAGACAUGUAAGGAUCAAAUGGGUGAUCACCGGCUGCCGUGUCGAUUAUAAAGUCCAGGGACUUAGCAAUGGCCUGCGUGCAUUGGAUUUAUCAGAUCACAACAGAAUUUGACCACCAUGGAUCUCAAUGUGGAUAAUUCUAGUUUUUCCUCUUUUUACCUUCAUCUGCUCCAGGUCAGAUGAGAUAAUGAAAUGGUCAGCCCCAAGCAGGCUCAGUGCUUCCUCCUUUUUAGAAAUGCUUGUACUUAACACUGUGACUUUCAGUCCAAAAGCCUUCCCAAACUUAACUGCCAUAUGACCGAGCCCACCAAGUCCAAUUACACCUAGAGACUUACCAGGUUGGUUCAUCUUGUGACGUAUCAUUGGAGUGUACACCGUGAUUCCAGCACAGAGCAAUGGCGCUGCUAGAUCCAUCGGGUAGUUUUCUGGAAUCCUGAAGCAAUACCUGUCAAUGAAGCACCACAAUUAAGUUUCCAAAUAACACCAAGACAGGAAGUGAUUUCCCAAUAGAAUCAGCAUCCUGUCUUUGUUGUCUAAAAGGAAUCAAAUCACAGAGCCAGAAAUCCUAUCUUCCACAUGCUUGGGAAUUUUACUUGCUUAGACCACAAUUCAGCAUCAUGUUGUUUCUGUGAUCCUUGUUCUGACCACAAAUUGCUCUAGACAAACAUUUCUUGCUGUAGCAACGUAAAUAAAGCAAUUGCAGCAUACUGGAGACCACACUCGAUUAAAAUUAAGAAAAGACACUUGCUCUAAGAAAGGAAACUAGUGGCAUAUCAUGUAUGCUUGACUGAACACGUAAUUUUGUAUUUCCUUCAAUCAAUUUCUCCAAAGGACUCAAGAUUCCUGCGGCUCUAUCAGAAACAAGAAUUAGUGAAAGCGCAUACAUUUAGCUACUCAUUUGAUCUGAUACUUAUGAUCUAACUCUAACAAUCUAAGGACAGCUUAUUCCAUUCUUGACAAUGGUUAUUCAAAAGAAAGAAUUUCUUUUCGCAUUUAAUAAAGCCAGUUCUCCAUUGAAUGGUUUGAAUGGUAAUUGGAUACAGAGGACUUAAAGACUCUCCAGAGUCGUUAUAGAAAGUAUCUUUAUCCCUUUCCACAAGAUGCAAUUAAUGCCUAAAAGCCAUUCCUCACAGUCCUAUGCAUUAUGCCACUUCUGGUCACAAUCAGAAUAAGAAGAAAAUUAGCAGAGAAGAAGACAUGACAUGAAAUCUUUUUUUGGCCACCAUGAUUUGGAAUUCUGUCACAGUGCAAAAUGCUGCCUAAUAACACUGUGUCAGUAAGCAAUUACCUUUCAUGGACGACAAUGUGACUAGAAUAUCCUCCCUUUGUCACUGUACCAUCUGCAUCAAUUCCAUCAAAAGUCAUAACCGACUUUUCACAUUGGACUUCUAGCCUGUCAUUGCAAUACUCGCACUCUCUGCAUGAAUUGACAUAAGUUCCCACCCCCACAUGAUCGCCAACUUUGAAGCGUUGGACACUGGAGCCAACCUGUUUCACAAUUCCAACUAUCUCGUGCCUGAAUCAAUCAAAAAAAAUUUUCGCAAAUUUUGUUCAGAGAAUUAUGAGGAUGGUGCUAAGAAAAAAGAUUUAACAUUUGAAUCCCGCUGCAUCCUACCCCGGCACCAGAGGAUACUUGGAGUGUCCCUGCACAUUCCUAGUCCAAGCCACAUCUGCGUAGCACACUCCACAGUGCGUGAUCUUAAUCGAGACGUCUUCGCUUCCCACGGCCCUAAAGAGAUGAUUCCCAAACAGGUGAGCAUAUAAUCCAGUGACUAAUCAGACUAGGGUGCCCUUUUUUUCCAUUUUCAAGAUCAACAAACUAAACUUGACCUACGAUUAUUGAGGAAACAAGAAACCAGAAAUGAGAAAAGGAAAAAUUCCAUGACUACAAGCAUAUUUGUCCAUACGGUAGAUACAACCUCAAAUGCUCAGAAAGGCAGCCAGUACAGGAUCCUCAUGUCUGCAGCCAGUACAGGAUCCUCAUGUCUGCCAUGAAAUUCUGAGUAACCCAUAACCAACAAUUCUCGACUCAGAAUUCAGCGCAUACACAACAAAAGAAAGAACGAAAAAAAAUGAAAUGGUCUGGACCGAAACUGUCUCUCGUGAACACUGUACUGAGACUCUCGCAUGAACACUUCGGUAGAAAUCGAAAAAGAAAAAAAAAAAAAAUGGCAAUACCUGCGGGUGAAUUUGUAGGGGGAGAGGAACCCAGAAGGGUCCCGGGCAGCCCAACCGAGGCAAUCCUCCUUCCCACCCUCCGAGCUCAUCUUCUGCACCUACACACCCGGCGAAGCAAUCACACAAACAGGUACGGUUAGAUUCAUCCAAAGAAGAAGAAGAAAGGGUGAGAACGCGAACGAGAGAGUGCCCAAGAUCAGAGACUCGACGGGUCAUCACACGGCGACGACUCGAGUCACAACGAGCUCGCCAUCACUCAUCAACUCACUCACUCACCCACCCCCACCUACCCAAGCACAACCCCACAGCAACUCAGAGAGAGAGAGAGAUGACUACGGAGAUGGAGAGAGGUUACGCGGUGGUGGAGUAUGCGGUAGCGCGAAGAGGGUGAUGAGCCGAGCAGAGUCGAGGACGGGAGGUUCAACGAAGACUUUUGCCCCCUCCUACUUUGCAGGAAAGCUACGAGUCGUCGUAUGGAUUUUAUGGCGGUGGCCCCUAGGCUCUAAAAGAAGGUUCGAGGAGCCUACUGCCUAGCCUUCUUUUGCUGUUGGUUUCAAUAUCUGCUGCUUUUCCGCCUUAGCCCAACCGACAUCGCCCUCAAAAGACAUCAAAGAUAAGGUAGUUGGAAGGAAACAUCAUCCGAAACUUAAAGAUGGGGUAGUUGGAAGGAAACAGUAUACGAAACUUUGGUUCAAUAGGUAACGUGAUUUUCUAAAUUUUUAAUUUACCCAAUAUGAUUUUUUAAAAUUUUGGUAUAGAUUCAACUUAGUCUUUAGAGUAUAUAUUGUCGCAAAUUUUAAAUUAAUAAAAUGACGACGUUGAAUAUUUUCAUAUGAUCAAAUGACAACAUUAAAUAUGUACUAAAAUUUUGAAUAAUAUUGAAUAUUUUCAUAUAAUUUUGAGAUUAUAUAGAAUAUGUAUCAAAGAUCAUUAACUAUAUAGUUCCGUUCAAUUUGCGGAAAAUAAUUUCCGAAAAACCGUUUUUCAGAUUUUUCGACAUUCAUUUCAUGAAAAAUGAAUUCAUUGGGAAAAAUGUUUCUUCUAAAUUAAGGGAAAAUGUUUUCCACUUUUAAAAAGUGAAAAACAUUUUCUUCACUCGAUCUCUCUUAUCUUACACCUCUAAAAAUCUCUACUUUAUCCUCACAUUUCUUUUUCUUCUUUUCUUUUUUUAAUUCAAAUUAUUUUUAAUUUCCUUUUUAUUUUAUUUUUAAUUUUUCUUUAUUUUUCUUUUUCUUUUCUUUGUUUCCCAUCUUUUCUUUCUUGGCUAGUUGUCAGUCAUUACCAAGCGAAUCUCGAGUUCGUCAAUCUUAAGCUCACACUCUGUACUCUUACUUAUCAUUUUCUUUAUUUACUCUAUCCUGCAGUUGUAUAUUGCUCAAACAAAUGGCUCUACAUGCUUUGCUUCUUUUUUCUUUUGUUUAUUAGAACACAAAAGACGCAUGAGAGAACAGGCCACUCAACUGGAAGAUUCUCAUUAGGGCUGUACAUGCUUUGCUUCUUUUCUCUUUUACUUCUUUUUAAAAUCCAUACAGACAUUUUUUAGAGUAGAUGAGCGUUUGACAACAAUGAGGGAACAAAGAUAUGCUCGAAUUUAAAUGCAAGUUCAUAUUUGAUGGGUUUAUAGGUCGGUAAGUGAUGCAUGCCUAAGUGGUGAAGUCUUAGAAAAUAUUUUCCUUACCAAACACCGAAAAAUAAUUUUCGAAACAUUUUCAAGUUUUAGCUUAACACUAGAAAAUAUUGUAAUUUUCCUAGAAAAUGAUUUUUGGAAAAAUAUUUUCCGGAAAUGACCAAUUUUUCACGAAACGAACGGACCCUUAGUCUCGGGAGUUUCUAUGUUACAUAUGAUCUAGUCCUUCAACUUUUCUAUUUGUAUACACUCAAAUCUUUUGUCAUAUUCAGUUUUUAUGCAGUUAAGUUUUAUUUUGUUCAUUCAAAUCAUUCAAUGUUCUCGACUAGUGCAAUUGAGUGCUUCACUCACCCAUCAUAACACACAAUUCCAUUUUUCUUUUUCCAAGUUUGCUUUUCGCUCAUUUGGCACCACCUCAACAUUGUGCGAUAUUUUCUACCUCAAUGAUAAUACUAUGUUAUUGAUUACUAUGACACAUUCAGCAAGAGGAUUUACUGAACGAUUUAAUUGCACGAAUCAAGAAAGUUAGAAGACUUGAUUGAACAAAAUAUAAAGUUAAGAGGAUCAAAUUGUGCCGAUAUGGAAAUUUGGAUGACUAAAAUUGCAUCAAACCCUUUUAUAGGGAGAUGGGUCAGCCACAAUAACAUAUUCUUUUUCAGUGACUGGCUUUGACACAACCAAUGCAACAUUAGUACGAAAAUGAAAGAUGAGUGGACAAAAGAAGGGCAACAGAUGUUAAACGAAACCUGUUUCCCAAAAGCACCAUGCAGAAACUUCCUUUCAUUGGAAAAUUUUUCUUGAAACGGAACUAAAGAUUACUGGCUUCGACAUAACCGAUGAACAUACCAAGAGCUGAGGCCUUAUCCAACAACAACGUGAAAAUGAAAAAUGAGUUGAAAAGAAUGGACAGCAGCUGUCAAAUUAAACAUUUUUUCCAUGUCUCGUUCAGAACUUGUCACUCCUUCAUUACAAUCUUGACCCUUUUGAAAUUGGAAGUGAAGGUUACUGGCUUCGACAUGACCAAUGUAUAACUUGUCGCUCAUGCAAUAUGGUAUAUAGAAAUGAAAGAUGAGUAGAAAAAGAAAUGGACGAUUGCUGUCAAAUUAAAACCUUUCCCAAGUCAACUUGUCGCUCCCCUUCCUUCCAUUAAAAUGCUUUUAUGGUGGAACUGAAGAUUACUGGCUUUGACACAACCAAUGUAAACCCUCCAAGAGGUGAGAGAACUUAUGCAAAAGUAUAAAAAUGAAAGACGAGUCAAAAAGAUGAGGACAAUAACCAAAUGCGUGCAACUCAAUUGCACUUUUUGAUAAGGAUAAACUGCACCUCUCCUCAUCAUUGAAAGAGAUAGGAUUAAACGCAGACGUGAUUGACAUAGAGAUUCUUACUAGAAAUUAAAUAAAAAUAAGUCUUUCUUGGUAACAGGAUGUUUGUUCUCGUGACCGUGUAGGUCUUUCUAGGUUCUCUGACGCGUGCCAUGAGGUCAUGGCAUGUUAUGCAACCAGAGAUAUCCAUUCCAUAUUUCUAUGGUAUCUAUCCAUCGUUACCUCCCGUGAACCUAAGAAGAACAAAACCAAUCCAUAAAGCUGGAGGAUCAAGAACAACCCGCCCUAAGUUAUUGAUGAACUGAGUUAACUGUUUGAAGCCUAAGUAGCGAAUCAUUUAAAGUUUAAGCUACUAAAAUGUCAGAUGCCAAACAGAAGGAAAAUCUACAGAGCCAACAUCUGCAUCGGAUCAACGAUGGCAUAUCAACAACUAAGGGAAAAAUCUGCUACUAAAUAUUUAUCUGAAACUAUAAGCGAGGAUCACGUUGCACUUGCAUAAGUCUGUUAACGCAGGUCAAUGGUCAUGUUCUGGCCAGCUAUGUAAGAAGUUUGAAAACUCUACACGGACAGGCACCAUUUGCAAGAAGACCUGUUCCCUCAAAUGCUCAUCUUUGUACUGAGCUGGAAAUGCUUUUAGCAGAUGACUGUGCCUCCAGAAACAAAUCGCAUGAAGUGGCCCACAAUUCUCUGGCAAGUCCAGUGUCGUACGAAACUAAAGAAGAGUUGAUAGUCCGGCCCUUCCCACCAAAGAAUACACACCAGAAAUUUCCUAUAUUUGCAAGACAGCGGCUAUUAGUAAGCACUGUUCCAACAUAUAAUAGCAGCCGCAUAAGAUUGAUACCACAGAUUAUCAGCAGAGAAGGGAAAAUCAAUUCUGGAAACACUCUGUCAUACCGUAGAAUCAACAUUAAUGGAUUUUACGUCCAAUGCUAGUACGACCUCAAUUGAGGAUAAAACGAGAGAGACUCAUUCAAGAUGGUUCAGAUAAGUGAAGCACCAGUACAGGAAUGCUUUACACCAGCCCCAUUUAGUGGGAAAAAAUCACUAUCACCCAUAUCUGCAGCUGUGGUUGCCUAUUGAGAUGAAACACAAGUGAUUUCAUUGCAGUCCCAUCUAGCAGUCCCAUCUAGCAUAUAGCAGAAAUUAAAGAUAACGAUUGCAGUCAGAAAAACACAUAAGAGAAUUGUUGCUGUAACUCUCGUUACUUUAUUCAUCAGAACAUAAGCCUAUUAAAUAGGCAGAACAUCCAAACCACUUAGCAAGAAAAUAGCUAUAGAACAACAACAACAAAGACCCACUAACACACCCCACUGACCAGAACAUGUGGAGAAACUAACUCCUAAAAACAAGCCAUUUCCUAUUGACUAGGACUCCACUAUUACAUUAUUGAAGACAUGUAAAAACUGAAAGUUAACUACUUCAACAAUUGAUGGUGUCACUUCAAGGAGUUCUCAAUGUCGAUCACGAAUCGAUACUUAACAUCUCUCUUGAUGAGCCUCUCUAGAGCUUCGUUGGCAUAAUCGAUCGGUAUCACUUCGAUAUUUGGGUAUAUCUUCUGCGCUGCACAUAGGUCUAUCAUUUCUUGGGUAUCCUUUGUUCCUCCCGUUAGGCUACCUGAAACAGUUCUCAUAUCUGCCAAAAGUUCACCACGAGCAACUUAGUUCACCUAUCAGGUAUAAAAUUUCAUUUAGUAAUCAGAUUUAAAACAAAAACAUACUGAGGUUAAGGCUGGCUGGACUGAAUUUAACUUCGCUUGAGCCGACCAAUGCUAGAAUGCCACCCGUCUUCAAAACAGACAUGUAAGGAUCAAACGGGUGAUUGCCGGAUGCCGUGUCAAUUAUAAAGUCCAGGGACUUAGCAAUGGCCUGCGUGCAUUGGAUUUAUCAGAUCACAACAGAAUUUGACCACCAUGGAUCUCAAUGUGGAUAAUUCUAGUUUUUCCUCUUUUUACCUUCAUCUGCUCUACGUCAGAUGAGAUAACGAAAUGGUCAGCCCCAAGCAGGCUCAGUGCUUCCUCCUUUUUAGAAAUGCUUGUACUAAACACUGUGACUUUCAGUCCAAAAGCCUUCCCAAACUUAACUGCCAUAUGACCGAGCCCGCCAAGUCCAAUUACACCUAGAGACUUACCAGGUUGGUUCAUCUUGUGACGUAUCAUUGGAGUGUACACCGUGAGUCCAGCACAGAGCAAUGGCGCUGCUAGAUCCAUCGGGUAGUUUUCUGGAAUCCUGAAGCAAUAC